rnacentral:lncRNA from 1 species
AGGUGGAGAGUUUGUCUUGAAAUGGAUUUGAGUUCUGAAUUAGAAUUCGUGUCAAGGUGGAGAUUGUUAGAGUUGUGACCCAAAUUUUGUUGAUCCGGCCCAGAAAGUUUCGCGAUGCAACCCAUGUUGGUGAUUUUCAUUGGGGUCUGUGGUAGUAUCGUAGGGAUCGGGCCGACAGGCCCGAUAUGGGCCUUUGUAUUUUUGGGCCUAGGACUUAUUUGUAUGCACAUAUUAUAUAAGUGCAUUUAGUGGGUUGUUUUGGGUAUUCAAAAAAUUCAGCUUUCUCCACAUUAUACUCUCUCUACAUUAUAGUGAAAUCUCCUCUGCCUCUGCCCGUGAUUUUUUUUGCAAGGAUUUUCACGUAAAUCUGUGUGUUGUUCUUGUUUUCUUUUACUUGUGGUUUGCUUAUUCUAUCCGAAUCAUAACAACAUCUCUUAAAAACACACAAAUCAUCUUCCAUACUUUUAAAAACCUUGUUUUUCUAGAAAAAAUAUUUUAACUGAUUAAAUAUAAAUAAUAAAAAAUAUUUUCUAUAUCAUCCAUGCCACCCAAAGAGAGUACUCACAAUUUUCUAAAUUUGGAAAAGAAUAUCCUAGGGGAGAAGGGGAAAAGAAACUACUACUACUAAACUCAUGGGCAUUUUGAUAAUGUUAGCUAGCGGUUGGUCACAAUGGCGCAGACAAGAUUUAGGGGUUCAAAUAUCGGAUGCAAAAAAAAUAAAAAAACUGUCAUGAAUAGGUCUCAAACCCAAAACCAUGAGACCCUUUGCGUGAAAGUUUGCAUCCUCUUUGCCACAAAAUAAAGUUUUUUGCUUGUAUCAAGGGGGCUCAAUGGAGGUUCGGAUGAAUCCCUGAAGUUCACGUAGCUCUGGCCCCAGGUUGGUCAUUGAUUUUUAGAAUAAAUUUUGGAAGUUGGUUUAGAUUCAUUUGGCCAUAAAAUUUAAUCUAUGAUUAAAUGUUUUCAAGUUUUCAAAUAUAAUUAAUUUUUUGACACUUUAUUUACGAAGUUUUAGACUUUUUCUAAGCAAUAUAUAUAUUCAAAUACAAAUUAAAAUUUCAAAAUCUAUUACUAAAGGAGAAAUAAGUGGUCAUAUCUUUUUGUUACGUAGGAAUGCCUCUUUGAAAGGGCCUUAUGCGGCGUAAAUUCAAAUUAUUUGAUCUUCAUAUGAAUAUCACAUAUACAGUAAUAUAGUCAGAUUUUUCACAAAAUAAAUUCAAAAUCGAAAGAAUAAACAUACAAAUUAGCUGACGGGGGUUCAACAUGACAACUGCUAUACAUACAUAAAGAGUAAUUUUAUCAUGUAUAAAUCAUCUAUUUUUCUGCCGAAAAAGAUUUAGAUAACCCUUUGGUCAUAAACUGGCUCGGCUCUCGCAAAUACAUCAAAUAAAAUUUAUAAUACUUUUAAUUAUUUGAAUGAAGAGAAAAAAAAUUCAGGGGCCUUUCGGUAAUGUUAAGAUAUUACUAUAAUCAACAAUCAAUCAAUGUCGCAUGCCAUUUUGUUUUUUACCCGCGUGCCAAACCCAUCGACAGAUCCUUUAACUUGACACCAUCUUUUACUUUGACACCUCGAUUAAGCGUUGUACAUUUUGAACACUUAAACAACUUAAAAUUUAUAUUUUUAAACACUUUUUGAACAAUUAGCUAAAAUUACAAAUUGUGUAUUACACACGCUGGUGAUGUGGCAUAAUGACCACUUAAAAAAUGACAUGUGAUAUUUGGGUCUAAAAAAAAUAAUUAAAAAAUAAAUUAUAAAAAGAUAAUAAAAAGAUUAACUUUUAUAAAAAAUAAUAAAAAAUAGGGUUAUCUUCUUAACCCAUCCUCUUCUCCUCCCAGAAUUUCCUCGCCAUAAACAUUACUCCCUCACUAAUAACCAUCUUUCACUUCAUUUUUUUAAUCUUUUUUUUUAAUUCAGAUAAACUUCAUAAGAGAAUUUAAAAAAAGAAGCUAGAAACGACACAAAACAUCACACCAACAGCUGUUAACUAAAAAGUCGUAGUUAAAAAAUGAAUGGAUAAAAUCUGAAAAUUAAGAAACUGAAAUUAUGGAAAUGAAAUGGAUUAUUAAUUUGUAUGAUUGUUCUAAAAAAAUAAAGUGUUUGUUAAAAAUUUCUUGAAAUUCAGAUUCGAUUUCUUUUCAUUAUGAACUUCUUUUCUUUUCUUUUAAUUUGUUUCUGUCUAGUUUUAAUUAAUAGGUGAAAUUAUCAAUUGCAUUAAUCUAUUAACGUAUUGAGAUAAAAUCUUGAAAGAAAAAUGGAGAUUCAUAGGACUUCUUUUUUUGAUGAUUUUUUUAAGAACUUAAAAUUCAUUUUUAAUUCUGAUUUAACGCAAAAGAAAGUGUCACAUAUUUUAAAAGAAUGAUGGUAGUCUUAUUUUUUGUGUUGAACAAGUUAAUAAUGGUGAAUAAUUUGUUAAUGAUAAACUCUUCAAUGAAAAAGACUGAGGAAAAGAAGAAAGAAAGAAGAAAGCUGAAAAAGAUAAAGGGAAUACAAAAGAAUAAAUUUUUUUUUUUAAAAAGUGACUUUUAGAUUCUUCACGCACCUAGUUGAGGUGAAAAUUAGAUAAGUUGUCAAGUCAGCAGAAAGUAUUAAAAUGACACAGUUAAACUUUAUUUUAAGUGUCUAAAGUGAAUAAUAUCCACAUGAGAUGUUAAAAUAAAAAAUGAUACUAAGUUAAGGGGCUUUAAUUUUAGGUGUUUAAAGUGAACAAUAUUGUGCUAAAUUGACAGAUGGUGGUAUGUGUUUGGCCUUUAGUUUACAUUUUCCUUCUUUCAUAUUGUACACAGUAUAAUACAUGGAAGUAUCGGUUAGGCAGCUCUUAUCUUGUAGGCAAACAUCAUGUAUCACUGUCUUUUUCUCAGCCUCGUAGUAUUACUUUUAACACUCACCACAUAAAGUAAUUAUUACUGUUACACACUUCCUUUGUCAUCUAUUGGUCCUCUACACAAUCACAACUUGAAACUACUAUUUCAUUUCUUGGUACUAUGACUAGUCACUUUCCUGUUUACUCUGCUUAAAUUCCGCUAAUUUUGCACACCCUUUUCAAGAAAGUUCUAUGUUCUUUGUCCUGUUUGAUUAACCUUUCUAGAAAGUUGAAUAAAAGUUAGCAGUAUUUUUUUUGUUUUGAUCACAAGAAAGAUUCUGUUUUUAUGAUAAUCAAGAAGGUAGUAAAGGGGUUUCAGAUAUUUUUUUUGAAGUUUGAUUUAUGAUCAAGGAGGAAAAAAAAGGGAAUUCUGUUGUUUGGGAUUCUUGAAUUUGGUGUUUAUUUUCUUGCUCUGCUGAUUGUUUGGAAAUUUGAGUUGUUCUUGAAAUAAAGGAAGUAACCAUGGUGACUCUGUGAAGUUGCUGUGCUUUAUCAAGAACCAGCAGUGAAGUGUAGGAAAGGUACUCCGUUUCAUUUUACUUGAGCCUUGCAUAAAGUGUAAGAAAAUUUGUGCAUAUUUUUCUCUUUCCAUACUCAGUAUUACAUAAAGUAGUAGCAGUAAAAUUUAGAUUUUCAAAGUUAAUUUAGUAAAAUACACUUAUGUUUAUUGUUUUUUUAAGGAGUUUGCCAUGUCAGCACGGGCCAAGUAAAAUGAAACGGACGGAAUAGUUUUUUAAUGUUCACUGAUUUCCCUUUGCUUCUGAAAUUUAAUUUUUCUCUAAUUUCCAAUGCCAAGAUGUGUUAUCAAUUAGGUGCCUUUGUUCUAAUUCUAUGUUUUUUGAGUAAUGGAUAUGGGGUCACUGUUUUUUAAGUGUGUAUGGUUGUUUGCUGCUCAGAAUGGUCUUUUUAAUAUUUCUUUUGACAGGCAAAGUUAGAGGAAGCUGUAAUUGAGCUUUGAAGGCUCAAAGAAAAAUGGCUUACCAGAGAAAGGGAUCUGAUCUGCAACCGCAGAGGCGUAUUUUGCGGACGCAGACUGCUGGUAAUUUAGGGGAGUCAAUGAUGGACAGUGAGGUAGUGCCAUCAUCUCUAAGUGAAAUUGCACCCAUUCUCCGUGUCGCCAAUGAGGUCGAGCCCAGCAACCCAAGGGUAGCUUAUCUAUGUAAGUGAUACCUGCCAAUUUUUGGUGCUGAAGCACAUGAACUUGGAUUUUUUCUCAUAUUUAUUUUGUCAUGUAUGUGUGUUAAAAUUUUUGUUUCUAAAAUAUGUUAGAACUUGGAAUGCAGUUUGAAAUGUAUGUAUCGCAAUGCAGACUAUAGAAGCCUGAGUCAAUAGGAGGUUUUCUGCAUUGAAUUUUUACAAAUAUAUGCUGUCUUUCUGCUCUGCUCCUUUUGUGAACAAACGGAAGAGCUGUGGUAGAAGUCACAAGUAGGUUGAACAACUCAUUUUAAUAUAUUAAGGAAAGUUGUUCUCAUGGCCUUAAAAAGGAAGUUAGGAAUAACUCCUUCCCUAUAUUAUCGUUGAAGCCAUUACCAUGAAAAAUACCGGAUUACUCCAUUUCCUUGGCACAUGAUCAAUUGAGUGGUCAAGAGAAUAGUUUAGUUAUCUUUUUUGUUCAAUCAACGUAACUCGGCUGUGCAGUAAUUAGCAUCUUUAGGAUGCCUUUACCCUCCUAUGCUACCAAACUUCCUCUUUCUUUUGUUUUUAUUAGUGGUGGAGUAAAUGAUGGCCUGCAGAUUGUGCAACUAUCUGAUGCAGUUUGUCUCCUGCAAUUGAAUCAGGUCGAUUCUAUGCCUUCGAAAAAGCUCAUCGAUUAGAUCCAACAUCAAGUGGACGUGGAGUUCGCCAGUUCAAAACUUCCCUUCUUCAACGGUUAGAAAAGGUAAACUGUUUUAUACAACCACUAUUGAUAUGCUUGUCAUGGUAUGUGUUUAAUAUGGUGAUGUUUCAACUUAAUGUUUUUUGUGAACUGGUAUUAGUCAAAUCAUGUUGCUGUGAUUUAGAUUUCUGUGCAGUUUUGUUCUUAUAUUAUAUGGAGAGAAUAAGUGGAGAGUAACAGUCUCCAUAUGCCAAGUCAGUAGCACAUAAGUAUGUUAGUAGACCCAUAACUUGGAUGCAGCAUUGUUGGUUGUGCACACAGAAUGGAGCAAUCUUUCUUGGCUUUUCCAGAUGAUCAAGAAAACCUUUUUCCAUGUGAGGUACACAUGUAGGUAAGUUCAAUAGGGUACAGCACCUUUAAGGUAAGGUAUAGUUGAAGGAAUAGGUAGAUUAAGAGAAGAUUGAGAAGGGGUGACAAUGAGGAAGAAGAGAUUUUGAACGCCAUGAGAAGCUGCAAGUGUUUAACCUUAGGAUUACUCGUGACAAAUAUUUAAUCUAGAAACUUCAGUCUUAGUCAUGCACAAUUGGCUUGUCCACUAAAUCUUUGAUCCAGGAUUUUUGGGUUUAUUUGCCUUCUGGUCGUUAGAUCCUAAGGAACUUGCUUCCAUCACUUUUAGGGGUUCUAAAAUAUCAAUGUGUAAAUUGAGGAACUUUUUUAUUUUCACAUUUAUGCAGGAAAAUGAAACGACCCUUGCUGGAAGGACAAAAAGUGAUGCUCGUGAAAUGCAGAGUUUCUACCAGCAUUACUAUAGGAAAUAUAUUCAGGCUUUGCAGAAUGCUGCUGAUAAAGCUGAUCGGUAUAUUCAUGGCAUACCGAGACUGCCUACUUCAUUUAGUGUUAGAUUUUCUUCAUGCUGAUUCUUUCUGGCUGCUUCUAUUUGUGCUUUCUUUUAGUGCACGACUUACAAAAGCAUACCAAACAGCUGCUGUUCUUUUUGAGGUCUUGAAAGCUGUUAACCUGACAGAAGCUGUAGAAGUGGCUGACGAGGUAGACUAGCAUUUACAAAUAUGUUUUCCUUCAAGUUGCUAUGGGUAUCUAGGGCUCCAAUUAACCUCUUUGCCAAUAUGAGAUAUUAUAGUUAGAAGUAGAUGUGUAGUGGAUAAGAUGCUUGUCUAUAUGCUUCAGUUCUUUGUAUACCAUCCUUGCUUAUCCUCUAUUUUAUAUGCAUUUCACAUGUAGAUUUUGGAAGCUCAUACAAAGGUUACCGAGAAGACUGAGAUACUAGUCCCCUAUAAUAUACUUCCACUUGACCCUGAUAGUUCAAAUCAAGCAAUUAUGAGAUAUCCUGAGGUUGAGUUCUAGUCCCUUUUCGUGUUUUCUAUUCUUUACUUUGAUGCUGCUUCUAUCAUAUGCUUUUUCUUACAUCUUUCAUAGAUUCAAGCUACUGUCACUGCUCUUCGCAAUACAAGAGGUCUUCCAUGGCCAAAAAACCAUAAGAAGAAAGUUGAUGAAGAUAUUCUGGACUGGCUUCAAGCUAUGUUUGGUUUUCAGGUACAGUGCUACGACAUUCUGGGAAUACACAUCAGAUGAGUUAUGUAAGCAUUAUGAGAUUCUGUGUUUCACAAUGUUAUUUUGUAACUGGAAUUGACAAGCAGAAAGAUAAUGUGGCAAAUCAGCGGGAGCAUCUGAUUCUGUUGUUGGCAAAUGUUCACAUCCGACAAUUUCCAAAGAUUGAUCAACAACCAAAGGUUGUUCUUUGUUAUCUAUUUCAUAUGAAAUAGCAGUUUUUAUCUCUUUGUUUUGGUUUCUGACAUUGACAUCUACAUCACUCUCACUAGCUGGAUGACCGGGCACUUACUGAUGUUAUGAAGAAACUUUUCAAAAACUAUAAAAAAUGGUGCAAGUAUCUUGGUCGCAAGAGCAGUCUUUGGUGAGUUAAUCUUUCUUUUUUAUCAAUCAGUUUAUGUUGAGUUGUUUGCUAGUACUGGCAGCUUUCUUAAUUGAUAGGCAUGCUGUUGUAAGUAUAGCGCCUACUGGCAUCCUGUUAUGGACAGUGGUAAAGUUGGUAUCUUAAGUAGGUUGGGGCUUUGGGAAAUUCUAAUUGCACCCAAUCAACACUAGUUAUUAAUAGCAAGAGGAAAAAACAUGAAAAGGUAAUAAAAAGGCCCAGUGGAGAUGGUCAACUCUAGGAGACGGCCAACUUUGGUGUUUGAUUGAUGGGAACGAGAACAAAGUAAGAUCAUUUUUUUUAAAGAAUAUUGUUUUACCAGAAUUGAAGAGCCUUGGAGUAAUUGGUAAAGUUGCUGCCAUGUGACUAGGAGGUCACGGGUUCAAGCCGUGGAAGCAGCCUCUUGCAGAAAUGCUAGGUAAGGCUGCGUACCAUAAACCCUUGUGGUUCGGCCCCUCCCCGGACCCUGCACAUAGAAGGAGCUUUUGUGCACCGGGCUGCCCUUUUGUUGUUUUACUAGAUUUAUUGGGAGUUCGUGUAGUAGUACACCUUAAUGCAUACUUUUCUUUCUGAUGGAAAUCUGAAUUUAUUUUUAUGGUUCCACUCUCAAUUGCGGCUGGUAUGACAAAUAUCCUCCUAACUAUAGCUCUGCCUGUAAUUUCUAAAUUUUGUCCAGUCUACUAGUUUCUUUAAUUUCACCAGUUUUUGCUUGUAGGCUGCCAACUAUCCAGCAAGAAGUGCAACAGCGGAAAUUACUAUACAUGGGUCUUUAUCUUCUUAUAUGGGGAGAAGCUGCAAAUUUAAGAUUCAUGCCUGAGUGCCUGUGCUUUAUUUAUCAUCAUGUAUGGAGUACUUGCUUGUAUCUUUAAGUGUGUGUCUGUACCUGGUUGUGUCAGUUUCUGUUAUUUGAUUUUAGGUUUUAGAACUUGAUUUAUCUGUUACAUCGUAUUAUUACUUCUCCGAGACAUUGAAUCAUAAUUUCUUUUGGAUCAUCUGUCACAAGUAAAUUAAUCAUCAUCUCUUACUUGAUAGAAUAUCCAAGGUCGUUUAGUGUAUAAUAGAAAGAGAUCGAGUUACUCAUUUAAUUUUGAAAAGUGACCAUUUUGAGUAACGACACUUGUAUCAUUAUUGAACUUAGCAUUUGAAUGUUCAAAAAUUCAAAAUGUGAGUUCUGUCAGUUUACUUAUUUUAAAGAUGUGUUUAUUAAUUGUUAGUUUAUAGCGAUUCUUACAAAUUAUGUAUUUAUCCCUUGUAUCAGUAUUGAAUACAUAUCGGUGUAACGUAAAGGGGAGCAUUGGACUUGGAAAUCAGUCUUCAUAUCUUUAUCUUUAUUGUCAAAAGACUUCUCCAAGGGUUCAGUUUCGGUUCUUUCUUCGAAGAUGUCACGCUGUUACAUAUGAAGCUGACUUUCAUAGUUUUUAUGUUGUUUAGCUUCAGACCUGUUUAUCCUUCCUGCAUGCCUUUACUUUUUAGGUUUUCCAGUUCAUUUACAUUUGCAAAUCUUGAUUCAGAUGGCAUUUGAACUUUACGGUAUGCUGGCCGGAAGUGUUAGUCCCAUGACAGGCGAAACUAUAAAACCUGCUUAUGGUGGUGCAGAUGAGGCUUUCUUGAAGAAAGUAGUAACUCCCAUCUAUAACACUAUAGCAAAGGUAUUUCGCCUUCACUGCAGCCCAAAACACAAGAUUUCUUGUUUUGAGGUGCACCUUUAUUUUACUUUUCUGCCUGAACGAACAGGAAGCUAAAAGGAGCAAAGAAAAGUCAAAACAUUCUCAGUGGAGAAACUAUGAUGAUUUAAAUGAGUAUUUCUGGUAUAUUCUUUUACUUUAUCUGAAUCUAUUCUCUUUUGUAAUGUAUACUGAUGAUUUACAUGACAUUGCAGGUCAGUCAAUUGCUUCAAGCUGGGCUGGCCAAUGCGUGCUGAUGCUGAUUUCUUCCAUCUUCCUCCUGAAGAACUAUCGGUUGAUGUAAGUAAUAUCACCUAUUAUUUUUUCCUUCAGCAUGCUUCCCAGUUUCGUUGCAAGGGCUCCUACUAGUGGCCAUAAAAUGAUUUUCACACACAAAAAAAUGUGUUCCUAUUUUAGGUACUUUAGCUGUUGAAACUGUUAAAAGUAUUUUUGUAGUGAAAUUGUUUUUGCCAAAGAGAGAAACCAACUCACCAACGUGUACAUGUUCUGUUUCAACCUUAUCUACCUCCACUUAAUUCUCUACAAGCUCAAUUCUCUUCUCCCAGCAGUGCAGGGUCAAUCAUCAGCUAGACACUUAUUACCUGAUGUUUCCAUCCCUCAUAUAACACUGCACCAAUAUCAUAUAUUGUUGACAUGUCCUACCUGUUGAUUUUCUAUGACAUUAGAUUUUCCUUAAUGUUCCUAUAACGAGUAACUUUUACUAAAUUGAGUGAGAACAAAUUGUGAAUCUAAAGAAGCAUAAUUUUGACAAAUCUUCUCAGACAUUAUAAUCACUGUAGGUAAAGUUGAUAACAUGAACUUGCAAGAGAGAAAAUGCACAAACAUGAAUAUAGGGGAGAUGAUGGAUAUUGUCUCUGAUAUUUUCAAACCUAAAGAAGGGGGAAGAUUAGAACAUCUGGAAAUCCAGGGAAUGUGUGAUGUUAACCCCUUCACAUAUGCCUUUGAAAAUGUUAUGGUUCUGUCUGCUAUGAAUAUCUUAAGAGGUUAUAUAGCACGGGGCCAGUUAUUGCCCAGUAAAGCACCUGCAGUUCCAGACUUCCAGUGUCCUUGAAAACAAUGACUUCAAAUCAGACUUCAUAUGUAAUAUUAACCCUUUCAAAGACUGUCUUUUUGGUCUAGUGCCAAUUGAAUUUGCUUUGUCCUUGAUUGGUGUAUAUAUUAGAAUGAGAGGCCAACUGAUAAUGGGUAAAAAACUGAUAAUAAAACUAUCAAUGGGGAGGUGAUGUUUCGAGAUGAUGGCUUCAUGCCUGACAGUAGGCUGUAAAAUAAAUCAUCAUCAAGAACAUAAAAGACAAAGAAGUAAACUAAUUUCACCAGAGAGGUACAGAUGACCAACUAGCUUUUAUUCGCGGCUCUGAUUUUAUUCUUGAUGACUAAUAGUAAGAGAAAGAAUUGCUUAAAAAAGGAUAAUACUAGGUACAAAUAAUUAUAUCUUCUUCAUUCAUGAUAAUCUGUAAAGGUAUUACUUGUAUUCAUGAAGUAUAAACCAGUGUCACCACGUGUGAAAUAGCUAGAUAAUUAGGAGCUGGCUAUUCAUUCAGAAAGAUCUUUCUUGAAAUCUGGUUAUGAUGAUGGAGGAAAAGCCUUCAACAUCAUUAAGUAUAUAGCCGGUAGAUUCAGUGCUUACAUAGAAACUUUGAGUAAUUUUAGGAAUAAGAUUAAGGUAUCAGACCCAUCAUACUGUUGCAUGCGGUCCAGUAAACUAGAUGAACCCAUAGAGCAUCAAUGAUCUAUCAAACAUAAAAUUAAGCUGGUUAUGAUGAUGGAGGAAAACCCUUCAACAUCAUUAAGUAUAUAGCCGGGGUAGAUUCAGUGCUUACAUAGAAACUUUGAGUAAUUUUAGGAAUAAGAUUAAGGUAUCAGACCCAUCAUACUGUUGCAUGCGGUCCAGUAAAUUAGAUGAACCCAUAGAGCAUCAAUGAUCUAUCAAACAUAAAAUUAACUAAAUUAUUUUUCUCUAGAGGUGGUACAUGAUUUUUUCUCUAACAUAAUAGCUUGGUCAUCUACGAGGAAUUUUAUGAUGAAUAUGAAUGGCCAUCGACACCUAUGUUUGACAAAAAAUAUGCUUCUUGUUCUUUACGUGGGAGGAUAUUUGAACAGUGGUACUUAUUAUUGACUUGGUUAUGGUAAUGGUAUUUGGCAUGAUUUCAGUUUUGAGAUGAUAGAAUUUCAUUACUUAUUGGUUGCUAUCCCCCUGCCCUGGUGUUACACUAUUGAGAUUUCAUGCAUAAUUUCCUUAAUUACGAGCGUUUGUAGUAUUGAGUCUCGUUGGAGAGUCUUACAUCGGGAUCUUAUGGGAUGUGUGGUAUCUUUAUAUGCUUUGAGCAAUCCUCACCUGUUGAAAUAGCUUUUUGGGUUGAGUUAGGCCUAAGAUGUCCUUACAUGGUAUUAGAUCAUUACCCGUCUCAAUUCUUGUUUCUCGAUGUUGGGCCCCCACAUUAAAAAUUAUCCACGCUCCAGAUGUCCUGGGCAUGAUUUUUUUUUUUUUUGUGUUGUUGCGAUUUGAAACAACUUAACAUGUUACAACAAGUAUUGCACACUUAAUCUAAAUAUUGAUCAUAUUCAGGCAAAUGAAGCAAUUAAAAGGAACCGUUGGAUGGGGAAAAUCAAUUUUGUCGAGACACGCUCAUUUUGGCACAUCUAUAGGAGUUUUGAUAGAAUGUGGGGCUUUUUUAUUUUAUGCUUACAGGUUAGUCUCUCUCUUUUUACUUUGUUUUAAUAUAUUUCUUCUUUCACUUUCUCAUUAUUUGUAUGACAUGUUGAGUGUCUUCUGGUGUGCUGAUUUACCUUGUUUACUGAAGGCAAUGAUCAUUAUUGCAUGGAAUGGAUCUGGCCAACUGGGUGGUAUUUUUGUAGGAGAUGUGUUCAAGAAAGUGUUGAGCAUUUUCAUAACAGCUGCCAUACUGAAGCUCGCUCAAGGUGAGGGUUUAUUUUUGACAAACACUGGCUAGAUUAUAAUUCAAUAUCCUUUUUGUUGUAGUUAGUUUUCUCGUUUCUUACUAUGUUACUUCUGACAAUGUGAAAGUUAAUCACUUGGAGGACAUUCAAAUGAAAGUUGUAUUAUCCUAUCAAUAUGAAAUGUCAUAUCUCAUGAUGUGGGGAAGUACUCGACUAGCUUUUGUUUUCAACUACCUCGAUGAAAAUUGUUAAUAAAUGAAAAGUUUCUCAAGAUGAGUUAUUGAGAACACCCCUAUUGUGUUGUGAUUUAAAAAAAUACUCCCAUCUUUUUUAAACCACUUGUAUAGCAGUGGGACUCUUUUAUUAGUAGCACUCUCUCUUGUUUGAGACCAAUGGUUAACACUCGGAUGACUUAUCAAAGAGUUUAUAAGAAGAUUGAAAACUUAAAUGAACAAUGUGAUAGGAGAGGCUUGACCGUCCGAGGAAAAAUUGGAAGUUUGAGUUUAUGGGUUUUGAAUUCUAGAAAAUGUAGUUUACUGUAUUCUUGAUUUUUUUUAAAUGCAUACAAAGUAUAAUUUUAAACGUAAUGAGUUUGAGCCAAAACUACUGAGUUUUUCCUAACCUAUAGACAUAGCUUUAGCUCCUCCCCUCGAUGUCAUCAUGCUGAGGGGUUAAAAAUGAGUAACAUGAGUAGUUCCUAUGCUACUGAAUUUGAGCGUCCACCGAUUAUUUGUCACAUUGUUUUACCUUACUGCAAGUAAUGGUCAAUUUUUUUAAUUUCAGCUAACAGCUAAUAUCAGCAACCAAUUGUUGAUCAUUUUCCUUAAAUAUGAUUUAACCGGUCUCGGAUUUUUUUGUUGCCAACUAGUAACUUAAAUAAACUAGUGAUAUUUCCGUAACGUCUACAUCCGUCCUGAUUUUCUUCGGAUUGCUUAUCAGGAAAACACAUGUCUAGUUGGGAGUUGAUUAGCCUGAGUGUCUAAGAUAUCCCCCCUUUUAAAAAAAAUCUGGAUAAGUUUCUGAAGAAGAACUUGGAGAAAUGCUUUAAGUUUUGCAAAGGAUGAGAAGCCUCUAGGGGUUUUAUUGUGAACUAAGUCCUAUGAAUCAUAUAUUUUAUCUUUAUCUGUUUUAGAAAAAUCAUUAUAACUAUGAUUAUCUUGUUGGCGAUGCUACCCUGUGUAUGCAGCGGUUCUGGAUAUAAUCAUGAGCUGGAAAUCGAGACACAGCAUGUCAUUUUAUGUCAAGCUUAGAUAUGUGCUUAAAGCUGUUGCAGCAGCAGCAUGGGUGGUAGUGUUGCCUGUAACUUAUGCAUAUAGCUGGAAAAAUCCUCCAGAUUUUGCACUGACUAUUAAAAACUGGUUUGGCAAUGGUUCAAGUUCACCUUCUCUAUUCAUCAUAGCAGUUCUUUUUUACCUGUCACCAAACAUGCUAUCGGCAUUGUUGUUUGUGUUCCCUUUCAUCCGCCGUUACCUUGAGAGGUCAGAUUACAAGAUCAUGAGUUUGGUAAUGUGGUGGUCCCAGGUAUGCAAACAUCACUCUUAUUUUAGUUUGUUGUUCAGUCUAUUUUCAGCUUUUGAGUUCCUUCUUUGGAUAUAUUCCCUUCCUUUUGGGUAGUCUUUGAUCUCAUACUUCUAAUGUAAUAUGAUUUUUAUUACAGCCUCGGCUUUAUGUUGGAAGAGGCAUGCAUGAGGAUGCAUUUUCUCUUUUCAAGUAAGCUACAACAUUGAAAUAUUAUAUAGAAACGACUUUCAUUUUGUUCUGCUAUUCUUUAUGAUUGAUUAUCAUAUUGAUUGUAAUGCUGUUCUUUCCAGAUACACACUAUUUUGGGUUCUCCUCCUUGCUGCAAAAUUGGCAUUCAGUUUUUACGUAGAGGUGCUUCCCUUAUUCUGUCAUUAUGCUCGUCUGACUAACGGGAUUCCUGUUUUUGCUACUAUUUGCUUUGAUAGCAAAAUACUAUAAGAGAACACAUACUUAGAUGGAAAAAUUGCAAGUAUGCAGUUUUUUGAGGUUGUGCAUUUUUCAUUUUACUUUUGGAAGUGGUGCAAAAAAAUACCUAACUUCAACAUUUAAGUGGAAAAAUAGGACCUAAUUUUAGCAGUGUCAACUUUUGGAUGAAAAAAGAUCAUGCUUCUUGAACAUGACCCAUUUGUUAGCCUUUGAAGAUCUUUAAAAGUUUCACUUAUUUAUCUGUUUAGUGUUAUAAAUUUCAUUAGAAGUACUAAACAUUAAUCGAGAUAAAAUUUGCUCUUACAUAAAACUACAAAAAGGCAAUAAAUCUUACUGUAGUUACUGUUAUAAUUUUUUGAAAAAUAACUAAAUAGUAUUAAUAAGAGUAUCUGUAUGCAUAUUAAAGGUUUGACGUCAUCUAAUGAGUUCUAUUCGCAAAAAAAAAAAAGUGUAAACGAGCUUUGAGCUAUUAAAAAUGCUAAUAGCAAAAUGGGUUAUGAGCAAUGCACAUGGUCCUUUUCCCCAAAAGUUAGCAUUUGGAGAUUUUUUGGCUAUCAAUAAAAGAAAAAGGAAAGGGAAAAAGGAAGCAGUGAAUACCAUAAUUUCUGUAUUACUCAUACAAUCUUUGAGGUUAACUGGUUAUGUUUCAAUUUAAGAUAUUUAUACAGAGAUAAUCUUUAUGAUCCUUCAGCAAGCAUGCAAUCUUAGUCAACUUUAAAUCCAAUUAAUUUAGUGUUAUAUCUAUUUAAGUAAAUUGUAAAAUCUUUUGGAUAUUUAUACAAUUUUUAUCCUAUCUUCAACUUUUAAAUAAAUCAAGCUAUUUAAAAUAGUAGAAGUUGAUUUUCAGGAAGUAUAGGUGUGCAUGAUUUGGUAUAUACCGAAUUAUCGAAUUGAAACCGAAAAUUUCAGUAUUAUGUAUGGUAUUUGGUUUAAGUUUUUUUUUUUUUUAAUUGGUAUUCUGGUAAUAAAACACUGUAAUACCGAUACCAUACCGAAAUACAUACUACAUUACACAAUGCACAUAUAUAAGGUUAUACCAUAAAUACAGAAGGCCUAAAAUUUUAAGUUGUCUUUAGGAUUACCUUUUACCUUUUCCACCUUUUUUUUUUGCUACAUACUUACCUCUACCACCGGUUUUUUGUACCUACUUACCUUUCCGGUUUUCCCACCUUUUUAGAAAUCAGAAAUCAAAAAUUUCACUUUCCCACCUAUAUUUAUUUCAGAACUGAUGGUAGUCUGGUUCAAAAUUUCAUACAUGAUCAUGCAUGUCUUUCCUUUAACUCACCAAAAGGGCAGCCCGGUGCAAAAACACUCCCGCUUUCCUUUAAUUCAUUCUCUAGAAAAAUUAGAAGUUCCAAAAGGUGCUUUCUUUGAUGCAGUGGUUUGUUCAUGACGAAAAAAGAAAGUCACAAUUCUCUACCUAAGCCAAACAAAUUGAAAUUAUCUAACUGAAUAUAUACCUAAAUCACAAGGAAAGAAACGUACAUGCCAAAUUCAAUUAGGUAUGGUAUUAGUAUAGCAUUUUAAGAAGCCAAAUACCAAUCCGAAAUAUCUAAAAACCAUACCAAAUGACCAAUGAGCGCCCCUACUGGGAAGAGACUUAUAUUUUUAUAUUUGUCUAGGUUCUUUUUAGUUUGAAAAUGGUCAAUUUAUUUUCUGGAAUCUAACAUUUAGGGAGACAACUGUAAUAAGAACUGUACUUUAACCACCCAUUCUCUUUUUAGAUUGUUUCUUGUUGUAUUUCCAUGUAAUAGUUUACGAGGAAAGAAACCUAAGGUACUUAUAUGAAUUCAGAAACUUGAAUAUCUUGUCAUCUAGUCCAAGACCAUUAUUCAUACUCUAUGGGUAGCAUAAAUUUGUUUGUUGUUGAAAAUAUCUGUUGUUUUAUGAUCUUCAUGCUAAUUUAUGUAGAUAUCACUUUUUGACUACACAGAUGUCAAAUAUUGGCCCUCAAAAUACAUGAAAACCUUGAAGCGGUUUACUUUUGCAGAUAAAACCUCUUGUAGGUCCAACGAAGGAUAUCAUGAAGGUUCACAUCAGUGUUUAUAAAUGGCAUGAAUUCUUCCCUCGAGGUAUUUAAAUGAAAGUCAAAUUGGGUAUUAUUAAAAUAUACAUGUGGAUACACUUGUGCAUUGAAGUGAAGAUUUGUUAAUUAAUUCCGCUCUUCUUAUGGUUUCAUACCUGCAGCAAAAAGCAAUAUCGGUGUCGUGAUUGCUCUAUGGGCUCCUGUUAUUCUUGUAUGCAUAUCCAUUUGCAUGCCUUCUCAUUCUUACAGCUUCUCUAUUUUCACAUUUUCUGUACAACAUCUAAAUUGAAGACUAUCCCAGGUCUAUUUCAUGGACACUCAGAUUUGGUAUGCUAUUUUCUCUACCAUAUUUGGAGGCAUUUAUGGAGCGUUUCGGCGUCUUGGAGAGGUUGGUAGAGCUUCCACCUACUAAUUGGUGUAGUAACUUAGAUUACUUCCCAUCCAAUUAUAAGCUUUAUGUUGGAUGCUAUGAAAUUCUCUUUCAAUUAAAUUCUGCAACACACUUGUUUGUUUGUAUCAUCUCAACGUCAGAUCUAGGUUUAUUUAUCUACCAGAAGCUUAUGCAUUAUUUUGAGGUAUUACAUAGAUGUGCAGAAAAUAUGCAUGUAGUAAUUGCUACUUAUAGAAUCUAUGAUAUGCAUAAUUUUAUGAAUGCUGCUCAAAGAUCUCUAGCAUAUGAGGUAAUUAAGAUAAGAUUUUCUUUUUCCCCAAAAUCUGCCUUACACCUUGAUUUCCAUUGGUUUUCCAUAGUUUACUAGUGUUUGUGUUCUUUUUUUUUUGGGGGGUGAUAAGUUCUCUUCCUAUGUUCUGUUUUCAGAUUCGAACACUGGGUAUGCUUAGAUCACGGUUUCAGUCACUUCCAGGAGCAUUUAAUGCCUGCUUGAUCCCAGUGGAAAAGGAUGAAACGCGUAAAAAGGGACUUAAAGCCACAUUAUCUAAGAAAUUUGAUGAGGUCAAGUCCUAGACAUCUCUUUGCAUUGACUUCACAGAGAUCAGUAUUAAGAUUUUGUUAAUUGACUGGUCCUUGCAGGUCACUUCUAGAGGAAAGGAGGCUGCAAAGUUUGCUCAAAUGUGGAACAAAAUAAUAGAGAGUUUCAGGGAGGAGGAUCUGAUAAAUAAUAGGUACCGUGAUAAUGGUGGUAGAGGCACAAAAUCCUUUUCUUGAGAGCUUGGAUGGGCUGGUUUCCUCCGUAUUCAGUUUCAUGUGUUGUUUAUUGUCUCUUCUCCAAUUUCCUUCCCUCCCUUUUGCUAUCCGUCUCUUCUCCCUUGCAAAAUUACUCUCUGUGCUUACAGGGAAAGGAGCUUAUUGCUUGUGCCAUAUUGGGCUGACCCUGAUCUGGAACUUAUCCAGUGGCCUCCAUUUCUCUUAGCUAGCAAGGUUCGGGAUCUUACAAGCUUCUUUAUUUUCUAAAUCUUAAGUAAAUCCAAUGACAACCUUACUAACUGGUGUUUAUCUAACAUGACUGCUAUUAGCUACCCAUCGCAUUGGACAUGGCUAAAGAUUGCAAUGGAAGAGAUCGUGAACUGACCAAAAGGUUGAAUGCGGACAGUUACAUGCGUUGUGCAAUUCGUGAGUGCUAUGCUUCAUGCAAAAGCAUUAUAAAUGUUUUGGUCAUUGGUGAACGUGAACAGCUGUAAGUUUCCAUCUGUUACAUUUACUUAUCCAGCAAACUUGCAGAGAGCAGUUUUGACUCGUUGAGCUGUUUCUAAUUAUUUAAUUGGAAAUCAAUAAUUUUCAGGGUGGUCAAAGAAAUUUUCGCAAAAGUUGAUGAUCACAUAGCUGAGGGUAAUCUGGUAAAGGAUUUUAACAUGAGCGCUCUACCUAUCCUCUAUGAUCAAUUUGUGCGGCUUAUUGAUUUUCUGGUAAUAAUACCUUAUACAAAAUUUUCAGCCUUAAAUUGAGUAAUUCAUAAAUAGAGUUCUACUAAAGUGUCUCUAAAUUCCACAGAAAGAAAACAAAAUGGAGGACAAGGAUCAUGUAGUUAUUCUCUUGCUUGAUAUGUUAGAAGUUGUGACCCGUGACAUCAUGGAAGACUCUGUUCCUAGGUAAAUCAUGUGGGGGCAAGUUUCUUUAGUCUUUGUUUAAUUGUUGAUCAUUUUGUUUAUUUUUGUAACUUCUUGUUGUAGUUUGUCAGAUUCCUCCCAUGGUGGCUCUUAUGGGAUGCAUGAUGGGAUGAUUCCAAAUGCAAAAUAUCAGCUCUUUGGCACCCUUAAUUUUCCUGUAACAGAAACAGAGGCAUGGAUGGAGAAGGUGAGUAUACCUCUUCAACUAGAUGAAGUAUUAACAUAUUAUAAGUGAACUGUUAAUUUUAUUGCUUGAGAUAGUUUCAGACAAUCAUUGGAUUAUAAUAUACAAUAAGAAAAUAUGAGAUGACAGGUCAAAAUUCACAUUACAUGGUAAAUAUGAUAAGUGACUAUGAUUGACCCGAAUAAGCAAGAGGAGGAACUUAAACACAGUUUUCAUCUGUGUCCCCCUAGUUCAAUUAAAUAUAGUGAGUUUCUAUUACGACCAUCUUAAAAAGAUAUUCUCUUCGCCCAGUUAUCAAAUGCUGUGAGAUUUGAAAUGAAGUUCACUAUUUGUGUCUGUCAGUGCACAUGUGUUUGCGCGAGAGUAUGUGUGUGUGUGGUUUUAUAUAUAUAUAACUUUCCCAUGCCAUAAAAGCAUGCUGUGAGAUUUGGAGUGAAGAAUGUGCAGGACAACUUAGAAUGAAGUGUGCAUGCUAGGUGAAACCCUUUCAAUAACUUCGCUGUACAUUUGGGAAAGGAGAAUGAUCAGUUAUCUUCUUUGAGCCACACUCAUAUGAAGCUUCUCGUUGUUCCAGAUUAGAAGGCUUCACAUGCUGCUUACUGUUAAGGAAUCUGCCAUGGAUGUGCCAACCAAUUUGGAAGCUAGACGGCGCAUCUCCUUCUUCUCAAAUUCAUUGUUUAUGGACAUGCCUCACGCCCCCAAAGUUCGCAAUAUGCUUUCCUUUUCGUAAGUUUUCUGAUUAAAACAUCAGUUGUCAAUUGAUAUGCAAUCACAGUUGCAUCAUGAUACCCUUGUAGGGAUGUUAAGCGAAACUCAACUUCUUCCUGUGUAGCUUGUUGGUAUUUUGAAGCCUCUUUUCAGAAAGAAAAAAAUCAGAGAUUCUGGAGAAAAUUGAUUCAUGACUAUCGUAUGAAUGUUUCAAGACUUAAUGAUAUACGGUUAAGGUCAUUAAUGAUAGAGCAAGGUGCUUGCACCUUGUGGGUACUAACUACACCGGAACCUGUAAUGUCUUUGGAUAACCUCUGUUUGGUUUCGUUGCCCUGGGAAAUAGUCUCAUACAAGAAUCUAACUCUCGUUUAACUUAUCACUAAAAUGGAUAAACUUGUCUUGCUUUAUCGUUGUGAAAGAAGAAAAAAUGGGAAAAUAGUGUAUAGGAGCUCUUCUCUGCACCCUAAAAUUAUAUAAGGUAAAAUACGUUUACGAAGCAAAUAUAAGAGACACUAUAUAUGGUUUAGUCCGCUAUGCUACAUUCCAUUUACGUUUAACAACCCUCCUCCCCCAAGCUGGAGUAAAUAUAUCAGGCAUACCUAACUUGUUACAUAUUAAUCUGCUCUUGGAUUACGAAGCGAACAUAUAACAAACACUAUGUACUGUAUAGUCGCUACGUUACAUAUCGUUUAUGUUUAAUAGUCUACCUCCCCCAAGCUGGAGUACAUAUAUCAGGCAUACCUAGCUUGUACAUGUUAAUCUGCUCUGGAACUUCCAAGAGCUAAACUGGAAGUAUCUGCCAAUUGAUCAUUUGAAUUGACAUAUGCAGUCAUAGUAUCUCGGGAUUGCAACUCCUAUCUAACAAACUGACAAUCAACUCAAUGUGUUUAAUCCUAUAGUGAGAAGUUGUAUUUGAUGCAAUGUAUAAGCUGCCUUGGUAUCACUGUAUCACAAUAUGACUUGAUAGGAGGAGGUGGUUGUAUUAACUCCUAAUCAACUGCUUCAAAUUCAGAUGUAGUUAAGGCCAUGGACUAAACAUUGCUUCAGUUCUUCAACACUUGAUUGAGCAACCAUAUUUUGUUUUUUACUUCUCCAAGAAGCUAUUUGUUUUUUGAUAACCGUGGUGUCUGGGCUAACUUGCACACACCUCGACUAAUUCCAUGGGGUACCUGCCACCUCCCACCAGCAAUAGGUACCCCGUAAAUCUAUCCACCAAGGCUAGAAUAGAUGGGAAGAAAUCACCUAGUGUUUUGUGUCUGCUGGGAUUUGAACCUGAGACCUCACGGUGCUCAACCCACUUCAUUGUCCGCUAGGCCACAUCCUUGGAUGCUCCAAGAUGCCAUAUUUCCUCCAAACAAUAUAUGUGUCGUGGACCUCCUAAUGAUGUGGAACCAUUACAAUGUAUCCAACUACUUCAGUAUGAACUUCAUCCUCAUAAAUAGGCCGACCUGUCCUACUCCCCUGGAGCACUCUUACAACUCAAAUUGCAACAUCCCAAUGAGCGUCAAUUUGGAGAAUCCAGAAAUUGACUUAGAACACUCACCGGUAAGGAAAUGUCCAGUCUGAUAACUGUAAGUUCGAUUCGCAACCAAUCAGUGAUCUCUCCCAACAUCAAGAAAGGGCUUCCCUUCCGCUGGUACCAACUUGACAUUAGGGUCCAUUGACAUGUCCAUGGGCUUAUACUCCGGUUUCGUCUAAGAUGUCUAACACAUACCUUCACUGUGAUAUGUUUUUUAUAAGGUUAAUUAUUUUAUUUAUUACUAUGGGAAAUAUUCUAUCGGAAACAGCCUCUCUACUUCCUCGAAGGUAGCGGUAUGGACUGCGUACAUCUUACCCUCCCCAGACCCCACUCUUGUGGGAAUACACUGGGUAUGUUGUUGUUGUUACUAUGGGAAAUAUUCUGCAUACAAGCAGUAUACUAAGAAGUGGAGAAUCUUCAAUAUACUGUGAUAUUCUCCAAGAACAACCCCAAAACUCCCAAACCAAAUCUUCUAGAUAAACUAGAAUUGAUGAUGUGGAUCCAUUACAAUGUAUCCAACUACUUCAGUAUGAACUUCAUCCUCAUAAAGUAGGCCGACCUGUCCUACUCCCCUGGAGCACUCUUACAACUCAAAUUGCAACAUCCCAAUGGGCGUCAAUUUGGAGAAUCCAGAAAUUGACUUAGAACACUCACCGGUAAGGAAAUGUCCAGUCUGAUAACUGUAAGUUCGAUUCGCAACCAAUCAGUUAUCUCUCCCAACAUCAAGAAAGGGCUUCCCUUCCGCUGGUACCAACUUGACAUUAGGGUCCAUUGACAUGUCCAUGGGCUUAUACUCCGGUUUCGUCUAAGAUGUCUAACACAUAGCUUCACUGUGAUAUGUUUUUUAUAAGGUUAAUUAUUUUAUUUAUUACUAUGGGAAAUAUUCUAUCGGAAACAGCCUCUCUACUUCCUCGGAGGUAGCGGUAUGGACUGCGUACAUCUUACCCUCCCCAGACCCCACUCUUGUGGGAAUACACUAGGUAUGUUGUUGUUGUUACUAUGGGAAAUAUUCUGCAUACAAGCAGUAUACUAAGAAGUGGAGAAUCUUCAAUAUACUGUGAUAUUCUCCAAGAACAACCCCAAAACUCCCAAACCAAAUCUUCUAGAUAAACUAGAAUUUCGCGGGUACACCAAAAAAAUAAAAAAUAAAAAUGAGAGGCUAUUAGGACCCCGCACGCCAACUCCCCACUUCCCGGAAUAAAGUCAAAGUUUCUACUGGAGUUUGGCUCCUAGUUUGUAGUUCUUUGUCCUAACCUUCAUGGGACAGAUGCCUUAGGACCUGCUAAUCCACUCCUUGCUAGGGAUGGCAAUGGGGCAGUUUGAAAUGCUUUUUAGAAAAAUUGAUGCGGGGCAGGUUGAAAUGAUCUUUAGAAAAAUUGAUGCGGGGCGGGUUGCAGGUCUAGGCGGGUUUAAACAAAAUCAAAGCUAAAAAAACUAUGACUUCAAUUCUAAGGCUGCAAACCAGGUCAUUGUUGACUGAAAGUUGCAAAUCUGAGUUUCCAGAACUCAUACUUUUCGAGUUAUAAGUGCUUAUUUCAUUCAACAAGGUUUUAUUUUUUACGGACUCUAAUAGCUGGUGGUUCAUGUGAUUUCAGUCAUGGGAUUCUGUGUGAGUUCUACUUUUGUAUUUCUUCAAUCUUUGCCAGAUGAUACUUCAAAAUUAAUUUCUAAUAUCUAUGAUCAAUAAUCUAAUAUUCAUAGAGGCACUUGUCUUGGCAAAAAAGAAAAUGAUCCUUGUAAUUUCAAAUUUAUUUUUCUAUCAAGUACCUUGAAGUCGUCCUUCUUUUCUUUAAACAAGUAAAUUAUACUAUUAAAAAGAACUGAGUUCUAAUUUUAAUGACUAAAUUAUACUUACUACAAUGUUGAACAAAAAUAAAAUUAACAGAGUGAAGGGAAACAAACACUUACGCGAAGCGGGGCGAGUGGAUGCGGGUGGUGCGGGGAGGGUAAUUGCGGGUGAAAAUGCUAUGCGGGGCGGGGUUUAAAUUUUGCGGGUUAAGAGAAAACCCGCCCCGCCCCGCCCCAUUUCAAUCCCUACUCCUUGCACUCCAUUAGGGAGAAGUGGCCAAGACCAUUAGUACACACCUGAAAUACAAUGGUUUUCUGGUCUCGACUUUAGAUGUUGGUACAAGCGUCAAACUACUGAGUAGACAUUACCCUCUAUAGUGUAUCAGUAGAUGCAUGGUCCACUAGGUUUCUAGCACAAAACUUAUUGAGAAGUCCAUUAAAUCCCAAAUAUCAGUUAGAUUCUUGAGUAAACACAAAAGUUCUAAGUGAUUUUGUUCUUCUCUAUAGCUAUUAUUUCUUGGCCACUAGGAUCCUAAUAAAAUUCUCAAGAUACUGAACCUUCGCCUACCAGAAUUCUGAAGAUACUGAACUCUAGCAUGAACUGAUAGUUUUCUUAGAAAAAGCUCCUUUUUUUCCCAAAAAAAAACUUUUGACCUCAUUGAUGAUGUCAACUGCGCUGAUUGUUACAAGAUGACCUCACACCUGGUGAAACUAUAAUUAGAUCAAAUUUGAGAUCUAAAUCAAUGCUAUUAUUUCUUUUUGUCAAUGAUUACUGCCUGAAAUAAGGUGAUGAUUCAGUAGUAAUAUGACAAGUUAAAUGCAUUAUGGGUUGCUGCUCGAAGUCGGUAUGGACAGAUCUACAGAAUGGUGAUGGAUGUUAGUUUAUCUCUAUGCUGAUGGUUGCAGGGAAAUAUAAGGGAGCUUGGAACAGUGUUUUUUCUGGAAUUUAAGACGAUGAUUUUUUUAAAAUUUUUUUUUUUUUAAAGAAAUUUAAGGUAUGAUUUUGUAGGAGAGAUUAGUAAGAUCUUACAUGUCUAAACAUAAAAAACCCAAGUGUUAGUGGACUGUAGCUGCUCAGUCAGUUAGAUGAGUGGUCUUUUCCCUGGUAUUUUAUUCAAUUAGCCUUCAUGUAAUAAAUUAUUGUGUUGUCAAAACAAAUUUGUAUGUUUUCCUCCAUGAACUUGCAACCAUUGGGACCUAGUUCACUUUGAUUUACAUCUUGCAUCUGUGUGCAUGUCAUAGAAGUCAGUUUCUUUAACUUGGACCAGUUGACGUUGUCUUCUUUAACUAUUAUAUGUGAUGUUUUUUUUCUCCUUUGUUAGUAUUUUGACACCUUACUACAAUGAGGAGGUUCUUUUCUCAAUAAAUUCAUUGGAAAGACCAAAUGAAGAUGGUGUAUCUAUACUGUUUUAUUUGCAAAAGAUAUACCCAGGUUAGUUUUCUAUUUGUAAACUUAAGCAUUAAAUGGACUUACCUUGACAUAUUGUGAUUCCAUGUCAUUCUUUAUGCCUAAAUCAAUCUAAAAAUCCAUUUAAGAUGAAUGGGAGAACUUCCUUGAAAGGGUUGUCUGUAGCAGUGAGGAGGAUCUUAAGGGAAACACUAGAUUGGAAGAAGAACUCCGUCUAUGGGCAUCAUAUAGAGGCCAAACGUUGACCAAAACAGGUAUGGUUAUAUUUAUGCUUAUUUGACCUUUAGCAGCAGCAUAUUUUCUUGUCAAAUUUCUUAAUUUGCAUGCAAUUGAUCAACUGUAAAAAUCAGUACGAGGUAUGAUGUACUAUCGGCAAGCUUUGGAACUUCAAGCUUUUCUUGAUAUGGCAAAAGAUGAAGGUGCAUACGAGAAUUAUUUAUAUUCUCAUCAUCAUCUUGAAGAGUAGAGUUUGUCAUGAAUUGCGCUUUUUACAUUUUGUACAGAGUUAAUGAAAGGCUACAAGGCUGCUGAAUCUAAUACUGAUGAACAGCCAAAAAAUGAGAGGUCCUUGAUGUCGCAAUGUCAGGCAGUUUCAGACAUGAAAUUUACCUAUGUUGUAUCAUGUCAGCAAUAUGGAAUUCAGAAAAGGUCUGCUGAUCAUCGUGCUCAAGACAUUUUGAGACUAAUGACAAAGUAUGAUCCAGAAUAAACUUUUUUUUUUUUUUUUCAAGUGUCUAUUUUUAUUUGUAAAUUUUGUUCCUUGUGUCAUUGUAAGGUACCCUUCUCUUCGAGUAGCUUACAUUGAUGAGAUUGACGAAACUAGCAAAGAUAAAUCAAAAAGGACUGGCGAUAAUAAGGUUUAUUAUUCAGCGCUUGUGAAGGCUGUACCAAGGUCUGUGGACUCGGCAGAGCCAGAUCAGAAGUUAGAUCAGGUACCUAUUGCAGGUGUUGAAUUGGAACAUUAUGCAUCACCUAGAAGCUAAAACAAAAAGCAUUUUUCCUGAUCUAGUUUUCCUUUUUUUUUUCCUGGGGCAUUGCCUUUUAUUAGGAAUGUCAUAAGAAGAGUUUCUCUUAGGUUUUAUUUUGGUUUUUGGAUGUAUGGUCCUGGUUUGUGGCCUUCCUUUUAUAGUUUAGUUCUUCUGGCUGGAUUGCAUCAGUGCAUAUUAUUUUUGUCAAUCUACAUAAAGUUUGUGCUUGGAUACUGAAGAUCCACACAAUUGUUGCUGAAGAUUAUAAUUUUAUAUUUGUUCAAAAUCCACACUAUUGUUGCUGGAGAUUGUAGUUAUAUAGCUGUUAAACUUUAUUCAUCAGCUACAAACCGGAUAUUACGUUAGAGAUACAUAUGCAUUUGCUGGUCCAUAUUACUUUUUAAUUCUCUGCAAUCAGCUUCUGAAAUAUUGUUGUCUAGGUUAUUUAUCGAAUAAAACUUCCUGGGCCUGCUAUAUUGGGAGAAGGAAAGCCAGAGAAUCAAAAUCAUGCAAUUAUAUUUACUCGUGGGGAAGGAUUGCAAACAAUAGAUAUGAACCAGGUAGGUAUCUGAUAAGAUUCUCAUUUACUAUGAGAAAAAGUUGGCAUGUUUGGGUUGACGCCACAUUGUUAUUUUUCCAAUCAAAAAGGACAACUACAUGGAAGAAGCCCUCAAAAUGAGGAAUUUGUUGCAAGAAUUUUUGAAAAAGAAUGGAGUAAGAAAUCCGACUAUUUUGGGAUUGCGGGAGCAUAUUUUCACUGGCAGGUAUGAAGACCUUUUAGAGAACCAAUAACUUUUUGUUGCUAGAAUGGAAUUGGAGAGAGUUUACUUAUGCAUGGGCAUUUCGUAUCGACAGUGAAAUGUAUUUUCUUUAUCAGCUGUCAUUUUUUUUUCUCUGUGCAGUGUUUCUUCACUAGCGUGGUUUAUGUCAAAUCAGGAAAACAGCUUUGUCACAAUUGGGCAAAGAUUGUUGGCCAAUCCAUUGAAGUAAGUAUCCAAGAACUAGUUAGGAUGUGAAGUACUGAGUCUUUUGUCGCUAGUAGUAUUGUGCCUUCCUCUCUCCUUUUUGUUUUUUUGUUAUUUCUGUUCUGUAAGUAGCCUAAAGAUGACAGGAGUUUGUUUUCUAAUGCGACCCCCCUCCCCCUGUCUCUCUCUGUCCCCCCCCCUUACACACACAGAGAGAGUGAGGGAGCAUGUUCCUGUCCUCCCUUGUGUAGCAAGAGGCUAAAGGGUCAUUUGGUAGAGUGUAUUGAAAUAUUAAUGCAUGUAUUAGUUUAAUAUGUAUUAGUAGUACCUUGUUUGGUAUACCUUUUUACCCUAUGUAUAACUAAUGCUUUUGUGUAUUGAGGUGUGUAUUACUAAUACCUCAAAAUCCAUGACAUUAGUAAUGCAAUGGAUCUAAUGCAUGCAUUAACAUGCUUAAAGACCCUAUUACCCCUCAAAAAAAAUUUCGCAUCCUUUUCAACAUAUAUAUUGAGGACAUUAUGUAAAAAAAAAAAUUUUUUUUUAAGAAAUUAUGUAAUUCAUGUUUUUUUUAAUAUAUCGAACCAAACACUGCAUAAGAAAAAUACAAGCAUAACUAACACAAGCAUUACUAAUACACCAUAUUUUGCAUUAUUCUUAUACACUCUACCAAACGACCCCUAAAUGUCUGAUAUUCAGUACUUGAACUCCUUUUCAUGCUAGCUGCACUACUUAUGAAGGUUAAUGAACUUUCUUGUCUUUUACAUUUUCCUUCUUGUCGUCCUGUGACUAUUUUUUACUUGGUAAAUUCUGAUUACCUUUCUGAAUUUGAAGUGAUGUGAUGGCCUAUUUUAAUCUGUAGUUGCAUGAAUUCUGCAUCAUAGUAAUGCAAAUAUGCCUUUUACUUUUCAUCUCAGUAGGUCAAAAUGUUUUCCUGACAUGAAGUUUCUCAUCUAUUGUGGAUGCUUUUUCUCUCAGAGUACGUUUCCACUAUGGGCAUCCUGAUGUAUUUGAUAGAUUGUUUCAUUUAACUAGAGGUGGUGUGAGCAAGGCUUCCAAAGUCAUCAACCUAAGUGAAGACAUUUUUGCUGGUAUUUGAAAACCCACAAACUUGAACACAUAAAUCCUGUAGUUUUUGUCUACCCUUACAAACUUUGAUGCAUCUUUUAGGUUUUAAUUCUACUCUACGGGGGGGUAAUGUUACUCACCACGAGUACAUCCAAGUUGGUAAAGGAAGAGAUGUUGGCCUUAACCAAAUUUCACUGUUUGAGGCAAAGAUAGCUAAUGGAAAUGGUGAGCAGACAAUGAGUCGUGAUGUAUACAGGCUUGGACAUCGGUUUGAUUUCUUCCGUAUGCUAUCAUGCUUCUUCACCACUAUAGGAUUCUACUUUACUACCCUGGUACUGCUCAACUGCUUCUCCACUUUAGACUUUCAUUAUCCUAACUGGGUUUGUUCUCUUUAUAGUCUACCUAAAUGAAUGUCUCUUCUUUGGCAGGUAACUGUCAUUAUUGUAUAUGUUUUUCUUUAUGGUCGGCUGUAUCUUGUCGUCAGUGGGCUUGAAGAAGGAUUAAGUUCACACCCAGCUAUUCGAAAUAAUAAGCCUCUUCAAGUUGCUCUUGCCUCUCAAUCGUUUGUGCAAAUUGGCCUAUUGAUGGCGUUGCCUAUGAUGAUGGAGAUAGGCCUUGAGAGGGGCUUCCGCAAUGCCUUAACUGAUUUUGUGCUCAUGCAACUACAACUUGCUCCUGUUUUCUUUACAUUUUCUCUUGGAACAAGGACCCACUAUUAUGGAAGAACAUUGCUCCAUGGGGGUGCUCAAUACAGAGGCACUGGUCGUGGUUUUGUUGUAUUUCAUGCCAAAUUUGCUGAAAACUAUCGUUUGUACUCUCGAACCCAUUUUGUGAAGGGAAUCGAACUCAUGAUUCUACUUCUUGUCUACCAUAUAUUUGGUAAAUCAUACAGAGAUAUGGUGGCAUAUGUUCUUAUAACCGCAUCUGUAUGGUUCCUGGUUGUUACAUGGCUCUUUGCCCCAUUCCUGUUCAAUCCUUCCGGAUUCGAGUGGCAAAAGAUUGUCGAUGACUGGACAGACUGGAAUAAGUGGAUAAACAAUCGUGGUGGUAUCGGUGUAUCGCCAGAGAAAAGCUGGGAAUCUUGGUGGGAGAAAGAACAAGAGCAUCUUUAUCAUUCAGGGAUCCGUGGCACUGUAGCUGAGAUAUUGUUAUCAAUGCGCUUUUUUAUAUAUCAAUACGGACUUGUAUAUCACCUCACAAUUUUGAAUAACGAAACAAGUUUUCUGGUACGUCCUUAGUUUGCAUUUCAGUUUGCAGAAGUGAUCACCUAAAAUAUUGAAGUAUUGACUUCUAUUAUUUGUUGCUGCAUAUUCAGGUUUAUGGUAUUUCAUGGAUCGUCAUUUUCUUAAUAUUAGCAGUAAUGAAGGUGAGUUAAAAAAAAAUUGCACUUUCUUAUUAUAUUCAUUGAUAAGUUUCCCCAUUAUUUCAGAUAUUAUAGAGAUACACAAUCUUAUAUCACAAAAUCGUAAAAAGAGUACAUGACUUAGCAUGUUAUGGUUACCAGCUAAUAUAAAAGAAAAGGUUAUAGUAUUGCCUUAACGUUGUGUUUUUCAGGCUUAGUAAAUACACUUAUGUUAUAACAAUGCUUUUCCUAAAAAGAUCCAACUAUUGGGAGUUACUUAGGUCAGAUGAUUUAAAUAAAAGGUGUCAAAGAUGGUGAGCUAAAUUACAGCAUGGUUAGUAUUUGAUUUAUAUUAGUCGAUUUCUUAAUUUCUUGACAUGCCCUUAACCCAAGCGCAGACAUAUAAAAUCAUGGAAGUAGUAGUUUACUUGCUUUUUCUUCGUCAGUUGAGCCAAUUUUGCUGCACUUUCUGGUGCUUAUGCUGAUUAAUGUUUCGGCUUGCCUUUCUUCAUUCAUUGCAGGUUGUGUCUGUCGGAAGGAGGAAAUUCAGUGCUGAUUUUCAGCUUGCGUUUCGUUUGAUCAAAGGCUUCAUUUUCCUCUCAUUUGUUGCCCUACUCAUUAGCUUGAUUGUUGUUCUACACCUGAAAUUUCGCGAUAUUAUUGUUUGCAUUCUCGCGUUCAUGCCUACCGGAUGGGGAAUGCUUUUGGUGAGUGCCAAUUCUUUUUGUCUCAAAUACUCUUCUUCGUUGUGCGUUUUUGACUUUUCAUCCUGCCUUCUUUCAGAUUGCUCAAGCUUUGAAGCCUUUUAUUCGACGUUUUGGCUUCUGGGGAUCGAUCAGGACACUUGCCCGUGGUUAUGAAAUUGUAAUGGGGUUGCUCGUGUUCACACCAAUUGCCUUCUUGGCUUGGUUUCCAUUUGUUUCGGAGUUUCAAACCCGUAUGUUGUUCAACCAAGCAUUCAGUAGAGGUCUGCAGAUUUCUCGUAUUCUUGGUGGACCAAAGAAGGAUCGUUCCUCGAGCAACAAAGCGUAGUUUUCACUGCUACAAUACNNNNNNNNNNNNNNNGAACUCGCUGGGCAUCUUGAUGAUAUAACAGAAGAAUAUUUUCUUGUAAAUAUUAUAUAUAUGUAUCAUAGUUCAUGUAUAAAAUUUCAGCUAGCUUGUGUAUACAUAGUUUCUACAAUAUGUGCAGAUGAGUUGUAGACUUGUACAGGAUAUAUUUGAAGUCAAAAGGGAGAGGGUUUGUUAUGGAUUCUACAUGAUUAGUUUAUUAAAAAGCUUGUUAAUGGAAAGCUUUGUAUAAAGUUUUGCCCUUAUUGAAACUUCCCCGGAAAUAAAGAUCUGGUUAGGGUGGUGUUUGGUAGGGAGGCAAAUAUUUUUCAAAUGUUUGGGUUAGUUACUCAUAAUGUGUAUUUUGCUCCACUCUUACCUGUAACUCUUUCGACAUGCAAAUAUUUGUUUAUUGAUGAUCAUCAAACACUAUCUUCAUGUUUUUUUUUUUCUCCCAAAAGAAACUUACUUCUAUCAUGUUACGUUGAAUGCAAUUUUGAAAUACAAAUAUGAAUCCUAAGAAAAUUCCUAACAAAUAAACAUAAGAACGGAGAUUUGAUAACAGAAACUAUUAGAUAAACAUGGACGAACUUGUGAAAACUAUUAGAUCCAUUCCUUAGGGUUGAUGCAAGCAUCCAAGAGUUUCCAUUCUUCAGUACCUACAUGUGGUUGGUGAUCAUACUCCCAUCGUGCCGUUAAUGGAAGAGAUACUAGAACGCUGUCGAUCCUACCUCCCGUCUUGAGACCAAACGUAGUUCCACGGUCAUAAACCAAGUUGAAUUCCACAUAUAUAGCGGCCUCGCCUUAGUUGUUGCCAUGGUUUGUGUUCGUCUGUGAAAGGGUUAUUCUUCCUCUUCUCUAUGAUAGGUAUAUAUGCAUGCAGGAACAACAGAAUUUGCACACACUGCUGAAAAGGAAAGGAGCAUUUCUUGAUCAUAGUCGUCUUCGUCGUUCAAAUCAUCAAAAAAUAUUCCCCCAACACCUCCUCUCUCACCACGAUGCUUAAUAUACAAAUAGUCAUCACACCAUUUCUUAAACCGAGGGUAGAAGCUAGCAUCGAAUUUGUCACAGGCAGUUUUUUUGCACCGAAUGGAAGUGCUUCACAUCGUACGCAGGUGUAAGGUCAGUACCACCACCAAACCACCAUUGCAUUGGUGCCCCUGGUGUAUCUUUUGGAGCAUGAUCAGUCUCAAAGUAACGAUAAUAUCACAGGCAGUUUUUUUGCACCGAAUGGAAGUGCUUCACAUCUUCCUCGAAAAUGUACGCAGGUGUAAGGUCAGUACCACCACCAAACCACCAUUGCAUUGGUGCUCCUGGUGUAUCUUUUGGAGCAUGAUCAGUCUCAAAGUAACGAUAAUUAAAAUGCAGUGUUGGUGCAAAUGGAUUUUUUUGGAUGUAGAACUGAACUAAUACCAGCAGCAAAAAAGGGAACAGGACCGGGCUUGACGACAUCCUCAUUAUCAGUUGGUCUAGCAGCGCGAUAAGCCUCAGGAGGCAUAACACCAUAAACAACAGAAACACUAACACCAGACUUCUCCCAAACAGCUCCAUCUUGCAACUUAGCUUCAAACACUCUUGUGUGUAUAUUGCUUUGUGUUAUAAUUAUGGCAAAUAACAAGUUGUUCAACAAUUGUCAUAUCCAAAUUGGAUUUUCCUGUAUCAUUUUCACAAACCAUAUACAAGAAAAUCUCAAUUAAUUCAAUUCCUUUUUGUAGAAAAAAAUAUGUUACUAAAAAGUUGUUCUUUUCUAUCAAGAAUCCAAAAUCUUGUUUGUAUGUAUCAAAUUCACUUGUAAAUGAUUGUUCAAUUGAUGAAACAUCUAAAGAAAACAACACCCAAGUUUCAUUAAAUGUCAAUACCAGGUAAAAAUUGUAUCUUUUUUGGUAGUAAUGUUCAUACCACCCUCACUCCCACCCACCUCCCAACCCCCAUGUUUCCAUUUAUUCCGUGACUGGUAUAGCAUUGAAAAUUUCCGGAUCUAGGAAGGAUCCUAAUUCAUCAUAAUCUAAAUUAGAACAUAUUGGCGCUUUCUGGUUUUAGUUUUAUUUUUAAAACUGAAAGGGUAAUAUACUCUUUACCCUCCUUUCAAGACUCAAAAAUACCCUUCCAUCCAUCUAUUUGGCUCUAAAAUAUAUUUAAUGUAUUAGAAAUGGCUUAAAAAUAUCUUUCUUCCUCUAUUAGUUCAAAAAUACCCCUUCAUUCACCUAUUUGAAUAAAAAAAUGCCCUUAAUAUUAAAUUUAAGUCCAAAAAUGUCUCCUCCUUUAUAUUAUAUCAUUUUUUUUAGUUUCACGUAGGGGUAAUUUUUUUUGUAAUUAUAAUUUUUUAAUUAGGAUAUUAUAUAUUUUUUGAUGGAAUAAAUAUGCAUUAAUUAGUAUAUUAUUUUUUUGGUUUCAAGUAGUGGUGGACUUUUUUUUAGUUACAAUUUACUUCAUUAUUAUAUUAUUUUGAGGUCUUUUUAAUUACAACCUUUUAUCAUUAUAUUAUUUUUGGGUUUUUUUAAUUAUAAUUUUUUAUUAUUAUAUAAUUUUUGUGGGUUUUACGUCAGGAGUGAUUUUUUUUUAAUUAUUAUUUUUUUAGUUUUAGGUUGGUACUAAGUUAGCAAGUAAUUUAUGGUACAUCAUAAUAGCUAUAUUUAUNNNNNNNNNNNNNNNNNNNNNNNNNNNNNNNNNNNNNNNNNNNNNNNNNNNNNNNNNNNNNNNNNNNNNNNNNNNNNNNNNNNNNNNNNNNNNNNNNNNNNNNNNNNNNNNNNNNNNNNNNNNNNNNNNNNNNNNNNNNNNNNNNNNNNNNNNNNNNNNNNNNNNNNNNNNNNNNNNNNNNNNNNNNNNNNNNNNNNNNNNNNNNNNNNNNNNNNNNNNNNNNNNNNNNNNNNNNNNNNNNNNNNNNNNNNNNNNNNNNNNNNNNNNNNNNNNNNNNNNNNNNNNNNNNNNNNNNNNNNNNNNNNNNNNNNNNNNNNNNNNNNNNNNNNNNNNNNNNNNNNNNNNNNNNNNNNNNNNNNNNNNNNNNNNNNNNNNNNNNNNNNNNNNNNNNNNNNNNNNNNNNNNNNNNNNNNNNNNNNNNNNNNNNNNNNNNNNNNNNNNNNNNNNNNNNNNNNNNNNNNNNNNNNNNNNNNNNNNNNNNNNNNNNNNNNNNNNNNNNNNNNNNNNNNNNNNNNNNNNNNNNNNNNNNNNNNNNNNNNNNNNNNNNNNNNNNNNNNNNNNNNNNNNNNNNNNNNNNNNNNNNNNNNNNNNNNNNNNNNNNNNNNNNNNNNNNNNNNNNNNNNNNNNNNNNNNNNNNNNNNNNNNNNNNNNNNNNNNNNNNNNNNNNNNNNNNNNNNNNNNNNNNNNNNNNNNNNNNNNNNNNNNNNNNNNNNNNNNNNNNNNNNNNNNNNNNNNNNNNNNNNNNNNNNNNNNNNNNNNNNNNNNNNNNNNNNNNNNNNNNNNNNNNNNNNNNNNNNNNNNNNNNNNNNNNNNNNNNNNNNNNNNNNNNNNNNNNNNNNNNNNNNNNNNNNNNNNNNNNNNNNNNNNNNNNNNNNNNNNNNNNNNNNNNNNNNNNNNNNNNNNNNNNNNNNNNNNNNNNNNNNNNNNNNNNNNNNNNNNNNNNNNNNNNNNNNNNNNNNNNNNNNNNNNNNNNNNNNNNNNNNNNNNNNNNNNNNNNNNNNNNNNNNNNNNNNNNNNNNNNNNNNNNNNNNNNNNNNNNNNNNNNNNNNNNNNNNNNNNNNNNNNNNNNNNNNNNNNNNNNNNNNNNNNNNNNNNNNNNNNNNNNNNNNNNNNNNNNNNNNNNNNNNNNNNNNNNNNNNNNNNNNNNNNNNNNNNNNNNNNNNNNNNNNNNNNNNNNNNNNNNNNNNNNNNNNNNNNNNNNNNNNNNNNNNNNNNNNNNNNNNNNNNNNNNNNNNNNNNNNNNNNNNNNNNNNNNNNNNNNNNNNNNNNNNNNNNNNNNNNNNNNNNNNNNNNNNNNNNNNNNNNNNNNNNNNNNNNNNNNNNNNNNNNNNNNNNNNNNNNNNNNNNNNNNNNNNNNNNNNNNNNNNNNNNNNNNNNNNNNNNNNNNNNNNNNNNNNNNNNNNNNNNNNNNNNNNNNNNNNNNNNNNNNNNNNNNNNNNNNNNNNNNNNNNNNNNNNNNNNNNNNNNNNNNNNNNNNNNNNNNNNNNNNNNNNNNNNNNNNNNNNNNNNNNNNNNNNNNNNNNNNNNNNNNNNNNNNNNNNNNNNNNNNNNNNNNNNNNNNNNNNNNNNNNNNNNNNNNNNNNNNNNNNNUAAUUAAAAUUUUAAAUAUCUAAAAUAAUUUAAUCUAUUAUAUAUCUUUAACAAAUACUUAAAAAAAUAGUAAUUCACAAUAAUUAACAACUUAAAAAAUUUAAACGAUAUAAAUACUUGGUUGACUCUCGAAAUUGUAUUAGUGUCACUUAAAUUGAAAUAAAAGAAAAAUAUUAUAAAUCACAAUAAUUAAAAACUUAGAUUAUUUUAAAAAUAUAAUUGACUUUCAAUGUCACAAAAGUUUGGAUAAAGAGAGUAACAUAUAUUAUUUAAAAAUUACAUAAAAAUAUUAGAAAUUACAAUAUUAACAACUUAAAAUAUAUAAAAACAUAUUAAAAGUAUGAUUGAUUAUCUAAAUUCAUUUUUUAUCACAAAAAUUGAGACAAAUAAAUAUAUAUUGAGUCAUGCUAGAUCCCGGGUGAAUCCUAGGAUGUAUAUAUGCAAUUAAUCUUUUUUUUAAACUUUGGUUUAAAUAUAUCAAAUUGAGAAUACAAGUUUUAAUACAGUACACUGUACAUCAAAAGAUGUAUAAGAAAUAAUGUUAGCAUAAAUAAUACCAAUAUUAUUAAUACAAGCAUUAUUAAUGCAAACAUUAUUUAUACAUUCUAUCAGCAUUAUUUUUAUACACUCUAACAAACGACUCCACAUUUGAAUGGAAGGAGCAUAUACAAAAGCAAAGUUCAAUAAAAAUUUUACAUAAGUAUGUUUUAUCGUGUUCUCAAAGUCAAAUAAUUUAAAUUAAUAUGAAAAAUGGUAACUAUAGUUUUUUUUCUAUAUAAUUUUUGAAACACUUACAAUUUGAAUUUAAAAUAUUAAUUUAGUUUAACUUCAAAGAACAAGUUAACAAAUAAAAGAGAAGGAGAAAAUGAAAAAAAUAAUGUUUAUGGCGGCUUAGUAAGGAAAUACAUAAUUAUCUUGUAAGACUUGACUCUUUACAAAAUACUACCAAGUAGUCAAUAUAUUUUGUGUAUUCAUGUGUUAUAAUUCAUAAUUCAAACUAAUAUCAAUUUAAGUUACUAUACAUAAUAAAAUAUCUUAAUGUUGGGCCCGUGCUGACACGGGCCAUGCUCCUCUAGUAUAUAUAUAUAUAUAUAUAUCACUACUAUUUUUCUUUGUAUUAUUAUUAUUAUUUUUAUGGUUUCAUGUUGGAGAAUGAUAGAAGUGUAAAAUAUUAUGCAUUCUUACCUAAAUUAAAUAAAGAUUUAAAUUACUUUCAAGUUUUUUUUUAUAUAAAAAGUUCAAAACCUAAAAAGAACUAAAAGUCUUCAAAAUUUUACCUAAAAUAUAUUUUCUAAUAUUUGAGAACACAUAGAUAACCAUUAACUAUGAGAGUAUUUGCCCUUUGCUAAUUAUCCUAUUUAAGGAAUUUUUUUCUAAUUUUGCACUUAAACAUUAAUUAAUUCUUUUUAAAUUUUUAUAUAUAACUAAAAAAAUUAGUGAAAAGAGGACCAUUAAAUUGUGAAUGAAUUUGAGUCUAAUUACAUGUGGACCAAUAAAAAUAAUGUCAUGUAUUUAAUUAAUUUAAAUAAAAUUAUAUUUCACAUCAGAAUUUGUUAAAAGGAGGAGACAUUUUUGAACUUAAAUUUAAUGUUAAGCGCUUUUUUUUAUCCAAAUAGGUGGAUGGAGGGGUAUUUUUGAACCAAUAGAGGAAGAAGGACAUUUUUUAGCCAUUUCUAAUACAUUAAGGGUAUUUUUGAGCCAAAUAGAUGGAUGGAAGGGUAUUUUUGAGCUUAAAGGUGGAAGGAUGGUAUUUGUGUACCAUUUUCAAUAGUUGAAGGGUAUAUUAGACCCCUUUCUGUUUUUAAAAAGACCAAUUUUAAUUUAAAAAUAGACAUGUUCUAGAAGCAAAUAGAAAAAGGCCCUGAAAUGUAUGAAAACUACUGUUGGUGUUUUUUCUCCUGUUAUUGUUUUGGUUCUCUUGUUUUUGUUUCUCUUCUUUAUUAUUAUUGUUGUCAUUCUUGUGUAAAUGAAAAAUGAAGAUAGUACAUGGAUGUAUAAUAGAGCUUAUCCUAACCGUAUGGGAUUGAGGGAGGAAUAUAAAGCUGGGGUAGUUGAAUUUAUUGCUAAAGCAAUGACACUGUUUGGUAAGCACAUUCAUUCGUUGCUCCAACAUCAAACUACAUUCCAGUUUUUACCAAAAUCUACCAACAAAUCAAUGAUCCACCCGAUCCACCAGACCUCAACAUAAGCUUCAUAAAGAUCCACCAAUACAAUACACCCCUUUGGUUGAGCCCAUAGCUCAACUUUAUGAGAGAUUGAAAGUGGCUGGCUAUAUCACUCCUAUUCCUGUAAUUGUCAUGAACACAUAUGAACCAUGGCUUGAUCGUUCUAAAACUUAUCCCUAUCAUUCAGGGAUGAAAGGACACACCAUAGAAGAGUGUCGAACUUUGAAAGACAAAAUUCAAACACUGAUUGAUGCCAAAGUGAUAAGUGUGAUGAAGCCGAACCGUGAUGAUGAUUGAUUUACUAGGCUUGACUUGCAAAGGUUCGACAUUGGUGUAGAGGAUAUCAUGAUGAUUCUCCGCUUCAGACUCUCAAAUAUUUGAAAUUCAUUCAAGUUUACAAUUGGCAGUUUCCUUUUAUGCUUUUCUUGCCUAUGUAAUGUGAACUACGGUCAACUUGAUUCCUCUAGAUGAGGGAUAUGUAGGCGCUCAUUUAAUGAGUUCGGUCUCAUCUUAAUAAAUUUUUUUAUUUUGUCCUUUUCUACAUGGAGUUGGAUGAAUCAACAAUGUGAUGUGAUGUGAUGUCAAUUACAAAGGAUGUUUUGAAUCAACAAAUCUGAUGUUCAACGAAAGUCGACCUUACUCAUUUCCUAUCUUUCUUAUCUUCUUUACAAUCAUAAUUGCAAUUUCGACAUCAUGUUCUAUCACUAUCAUGUUUCGUGCGUUAGGAGCUCCAAUCUUUACGCCUAGAUCACUUAUUAAAUCUUAGUCUUCAUUAUGUUUGAACUUACGGGUUAUGUGGUAAUUUUUGUUUGCCUUAUUUUAUUUUAAGUUGGUCUAGCAUUUGAACAUCAAACUCAAGUGACAAUCUGUAAUAUGACAAAUAUGCUCAAUGUCCGAAAAGUUUUCAGUCCUCCUUUUCAUCGCCUAAGGCAAAACACUAUGACUCCUUAUCGUCGCCUUACCCACACCCCUUUUCAGCAAUUUUCUUCUGCAUGUGACACUUCUGAAAGUGAAAGGAUCAAUUAAGAUGAACGUUGGCAAAGGCUUCGUGACUUAGAGAAAAGAUUGAAUGAGGAAAUGUGUUCUAGGGUUAUUUAUGACUUGAGGUACGAGAAAUUAUGUAUACAUCCGAUGAUUGAUUUACCUACAGGAUACAAAGUUCCAAAGUUCAACAUAUUUGAUGGGCAUAGGGAUCCAAUCACACAUCUGAAGGACUAUUGCGGCAGGCUAAUUGGCAUAGGACACAAUGAGGCUCUCUUAAUGAGAUUGUUUAUUCAAAGUUUGUCCGGAAUGGCACUCACACGGUUCGCCCAACAGGAUUUUGACAAAUGGCAUAAUUGGGAAGAAUUGACUCAAGAUUUUGUGAGGCAAUACAAGUUUAACAUCAAUACUGGUCCAACAAUGCGGGAGUUAUUCGAGAUCAAGAGAACGACCCAUGAAUAUUUUGAGGAAUAUACAAUUCGAUGGAGGUUAGAGGCUUCCAAAAUACGCCCUUCUGUUUAUGAAGAGGAAUUGGUCCAAAUUUUCCUCAGGACACUAGAUGGAUAUACUUCCAGAAAAUUUUCCUUCUGGUUGGUCACAACUUUGAGAGUCUAAUUUCGAUUGGAAAUAAAUUAGAAUAUGAAACGAAGAAUCCAUCCAAGAGAGAGAAAGAGGAUUCAUCACCCUCCAUACCUCGAACGCAAGGCUAUUAAAAUAAUAAAGAGACCCGUGUUGUUUUUGGUUCUCAAAACAAGGCUCAAUCUUACUCUGUCCAACAAGAUCCAAGACGUUCACGAAAUAAACAUAAAACGUAUCACAUGAAUUGACGUUCCUACUUCAUGUCACCAAUCUCAUUUUACCCAUCUUAUGGCUAAUAAUAUUUUCUUGUUUGCUCUACCUUUCUUUGUACUCUUGAACUAUGUUUGACCUGACUUUCAUUUGGAUACGAAGGCAGCCCAUUUUGGGUCCAGUCUUAAUCUAAUAAAAUAUUUUUCUUUCUCCCUCUUUAUCAAAUUCUUACACUUCCAAAGCAUAUAAAGGCAGAUUACAAUUGAGGUUAUGAUAUUCAAAUAUAGGACAAUCAUUUCUCUUGGACUAAUGUUUUUUUUAGUGAUGCAGAAAUAAGAGACUCCAAAGACAAAACUAGCGUAGAAUUUUUUAGGUUUCAAGAAAACCUCAAAAAUUUCAGAAGUAAACAAUAUGUCAAUUCACAAUGACGUAAAAAAAAAGCCAUUCAUUCUAAACCGGGGCAAAAUUUUUUGAGAAUUCCUCAAUUCACGAGUAAACAAUAUAUUCAUUCACAAUGACGUACGAAAGGCGCUUUACAUUCUAAACUGGGGCAGUAAUUUUUGAGAAUUCCUCAAAAAUUUCAUCACGAUGGAGAAUCCUAACGAUUCAUGGAGUAGAAAACAACGACCAAGGAGUCGACUCGAGCAUGGUACAAACCCACAUUUCUUUUUGACUGACAACCUUUAUUUGAGUACAAGAUUAACAGGUAUAGAUGACAACAAUCACUCCAUCAUGAGAGGCCUAAUGGCUAUUCCAACAUCAAGCCAAAAAUCUUGACAGUUGAUCCAACAGUAUAACAGAUACGCUUUUGAAUUUCAUCUUAUCAUUAUUGUUAUGGUAUAGAUGAGAGGCCCAAUGGCCAAUCCAACAUCACGUCGAGUAACCUGAUAGCUGAUCCAACAGUACAACCAAUGUGCUUUCGAAUUUCAUCUUGUCAUUAUUGUUAUGGUUGUUUUCACUACAUUGUUUAAUCUUCUACAAUAUACAUCUAUCUGUGCUAACCAUUUUUAUCUUGUUGAGCUAAAAGUGGAAGGACUAAUAGGUAUAGAUGAGAGGCCUAACAGCCAAUCCAACGUCAUAUCGAGAGGCCCAAUAGCCAAUUCAAUGUCACAUCGAGAAGCCCAACAUCUAAUCCAAUAUUACAUCGAGAGGCCCAACAAUCGAUCCAACGUCAUAUUGAGAAUCCCAAUAGCUGAUCCAAUGCUACAUCGAGAGGCCCAACAACUGAUCCAACGUCAUAUCGAGAAGCCCAAUAACUGAUCCAACAUUACAUUGAGAGGCCCCGAGAGGCCCAACAGCCAAUCCAACGUCACAUUAAGAUGCCCAACAGCUGAUCCAAUGCUACAUCGAGAGGCUCAAUAGCAGAUCCAACGUUACAUCAAGAAGCCUAACAACUGAUUCAACGCUGCAUCGAGAGGUACAAAAUCCAAUCCAACAUCACAUCGAGAAGCCCAACGGCUGAUCCAAUAAUAUAACAAAUACGCUUUAUCUACUCUCAUAUUUACUUUAUAUAUAUCAAUUGCUUAUCAAUUACAUACUCUAACCUUUGUUAUAUAGUAUAUGGUAAGGUACUUAGGCGACAGAGAAGGGGUAACAAACAAAAAUAAUUUUCGUUCCUAUUUUCAAUGUAUCACCCUAUCCGCCGAUACACCGUAUAAGCUCAAACUCGAAACUCACACACCUUUCAUUUUCACGCCUCUCUUCAUGUCAUUAUUUUCAAAUCCUAUUCACUUCAAUCACCAACCCACAAUAUCAUUUUUUGACGCCCCCAUCCUUUAUCAUUGAUAAUCUUUAGGAAUAUUAUUCAUUCCUAAAUCUAGAACUACACGCGGCCUAAUUCUCAUAAAACUAGAGAUAUGUAAGCGACUUAACGCCAAAGUCUUGACCACACUAUAUUUUAAACACCUUCCAUUGCUUUCUUCCAAACAAACUGUUAUCUCGGUCGGACAAAAUUGGCUACUACGUCAACUUUCAUUGCUUGACAAUUUUUUAAUCAUUCUCAAGCAAUGAAUGGGCAACUGUUGAUAUCCAAUUUUGACCUCUCAAUACCCUUUUGGGCUGUUGUUUUAUCAAAAAUUAUUUUUUUAAAAAUAUUAACAUUUUUUACACAUUUAUUCUUAUAUCAAACAAAUGUUGACGUAUCGCAUUCACGAUUUUAAAAUAUAUAGAAAUUAUUUUAUUACUUUUAUUAUCAUUUUUUCACAAUUUAAAAUAUUUUACAUAAUUAUAUUACUAUUUAUUAAAUUAUUUUUUUCUGUAAAUAUGCACUAACAAUUUACAAAUACAUUAUCUAAUUUUUAUUAUUAUUGUUAUUAUUAUUGUUAUUAUUAUUAUUAUUAUUAUUAUCAAUAAUUUUAUAUAAUAAUUUUAUGUAACAAUAAUUUUACAGGCUUACUUUAUUUUUUUUCGAUGCCUUAUUUAAUUAACAACCUAAAUUAAAUUGCUUUUUUUUUAAUUUAUUUAAAUUCUAGCCUUUUCCGUCCAAUUUAUUACACUCUUAGCGUAUUUUACACAAUUUAUUACAGUUCUAGCCACAUUUCAAUUUAAAAAAUCCCAAUUCUUUUUCUUAUCCUUUUAAUCUCAACCAUGGAUUAAGAGCGAUCCAACGGCUGAGAUCAAAUCAGUCUAUUCUUUCCUUUUUAAGCCUAAUCCCUAACCCUAAUUCAUUCUCUCCAAAAUAAUCCACACCCUUUCUUCCUCUCUCUCUCUAAACCCAACUUCCACCGACCAGCACCGUACACAACUUUGGCAAACAAAACCACCAGCGCUGCCGUCGUCCUCACGCAGGGAAUGACCUCCUCCGCCUGGUCUCUCACUGUCGCCGGAAAGGGAGCCACUCCCUCCACCGCUGCUACGGAUGUCAACAGCUGCAUCUCCUCCUACCGCUACCGAUCAGCCCCCGUCCAGCCCGAGCCAUCUUCCGCCGCUGCAAGCAGCCAACGAGCAAACUAGCCGAGCCCCUUCGCUGCCCUCUCCAGCGCCGCCCUUUGCCACCUCCUCCUCUCAUUCAUCAUAUCCUCACCGGAGUUGAUGACCGGCGAGGUUUUCAAGGAACCUCACUGCGAUUACGGUUCGAGUUUAAUAUUUUUUUUAAUCUUAAAUUGCAUGAUUUUGUUUUCUUUAUCCGCAAAUUAUUCAAAUUCUCAGAUUUAGAAUUUGUGAGGUUUGAGUCUUAAUUUUGAUUCAGUGUCUUUGAUUAUGUGUUUAUUUGCGUGUCUAGGCUAACAUAUAUCAAAACCCCCAAAUUUGUAUGAGUUUUACUCUAACCCCAAUUUCUUUUGUGACAUUUGAUUUUAAUUUUCAAAUAAGGUGCUUGUUUUUUUUGAUUGAUCACUUUCGAUUGUAUGUUUGCUUGAUUUUUGACAAAUAUUAGUUCCUUGAUUUUGCGUUGGGUAAAAGGCUUGAUUGAUUCACUAUAAGAUGUUUACACCUUCUUGAUUGAUUUAUUUUGAUAUGUUAUCUAGUCAAUUUUGAUUUCUGAAUAUUUGUAAUUGAUUUCUAAUUGACUGUUUCUUCACCUUUUAAUUGUUACAGAUUUGAUACUUCUUUAUUUAUAGUAAAGAUUUCGAUCUAUUUUGGCAUAUUCUAUAAUCUCCUUAUUAAUUGAUUAAUUUUAUUUGGUUUGGAGUGAUUUUUAUUUGUUUAAUUAUGGUAAUUUUGACAUAUUUUCCUGAUUGAUUGAAUUCUGCCCCCUUGAUUAAGGGAACGAAUCUCCUUGAUUUAUUUUUCUCCCUUUAUUAAUGUUUCUUAUACUAACUAUUUAAAGGAGACCUCUCCCCAUAAUUUGGGGGACAAGGAUACACUCUAUAAUAUCUACAAUCUCCUACUCUCUAUAUGCUAUCUGUUCUCUUAAAAAUAAGUUACAACGAAUAUAUACACUUUCUCUGACAAAAGCUUAAAACAGAGGCAAUUUUACGUUAUUAUUUUGGCACUCAUUUGUGGAGCAUUAAUCUUGACCUUUCGGUGGCAAUUCGUUCUUGCAUUUCAUGUUUCUUGGUUUUCUUUUAUUAUCAUUAUUUGUCAUCAUCGACCGGUAAGUCACUAAUCGAUGCAUUCUUUUCCUAUCCCGUAGUUUUUGUGAUGGCAAAACAUAGAAAGCAUGUCUAUAGGAACUAAUUUGAAAUAAUGUUUGCUUAAUAUGCCUUUGUUUUCUUUGUUACUCUGUUUAAGACAAUGUGUUGUUUAAGAUUAUAUGUUGGUGUAUUCGAGUGUUCUUUUGUGCUUGUCUUGCUCUUUUGAUUUGUAUCUAACAACUAUCAUUAAGUGGUGUUUUGGGAAUCGCAAGAGUCGUCGGGGUGUUUACAAUGGACUAUAUUAAUUAUUUCUAUUUAGCUUUUAUUGUUUAUCAUUUGGUUUGUAAUAUUAUCGUACAAACAUUAUUGAUAUAAUAAUAAAUUUUGGGGACGGCUCAGAGGGCGGAGAUUUACAUGCUCUAUGAAUAGUAUAGAUAGGCACAAUUUAGGUUUUAAGUUUAUUACGUGCUACGUGAUUCAUUUAGGCACACAAUCUUAGGACUUGUUAACAUAUGAAUUGCUUAGGCACGUAAUCUAUGGUUUAUUAAUUAAUUCGCUUAGAAUUCUUGAUCUUAGAAUUUAACUGAAUCCGACAUCCUAAAUUAGAUUGACACUAAGCGUAUAUCAUCAACAUAUUUUGCAUGUCAGUAUAUUAAUUUAGAUUUAAGGAUGUUAAUGUAUUUUUAGCAUAUUAAAUAUAUUAAAUUAAAUUCCAACCUAUUUUUGGCGUUUUAACAUUAGAUUUAAGCAUAAUUAAUUGAAUUUUUUGAGAUGUUUAAGUGAAUUUUCAGCAUGUUUAAUACAAUUUUCAGCAUGUUAAUAUAAUUUCAGCACCUUUAAUAUAAUUUUCAGCAUGUUUAAUUGAGUUUCCAGCAUGUUUAAUUGAAUUUUCAGCAUGUUUAAUUGAAUUCCCAACAUGUUUAAUAUUAUUUUCAGCGUGUUUAACAUAAUUUUCAGCAUGUUUAAUUGAAUUUCCAGCAUGAAUAAUAAUUUCUAGUAUGUUAAACAUUAAAUUUAGACAUGUUCGCAUUAAAUUUCAGCAUGUUCAUAUAAGAAUUAAGUCCUAACAUGUUAGCCUAUUAAUUUGAACGUCAACAUGCUAGCAUACUUUCCUUCAUACUAAUUUAUUUAUUUCAAGCAUGAGAUUUAAGCAUAUCAAUGCAUGUUUAGCAUGUUCAUGUUACAUUCUAGCAUAUUAACAGAUUUUUGCAUGUUAAUUCACUCUCAAGCAUUAAAAGAUUGUAUUUCCCGCAUGUUAAUGGGCUCUCCAGUUUAAAAUAAAAUAAUUUUCGACACGUAAUUUUUCAAUACUAUCAUUAGUUUACAACAAAUCUUGCACAAUGAAAUUUGUGAGCACAACUCUUUGACAUGUUUACUUCACUUCGACAUGCGCACUUUUUAACAAUUUUCUAACACAUUAUUUGACAUGAACAAUAGUUUUAUUUUGUCAUACUAACAAUUGUUGAGCACUUAGAUAUCAUGCCUAUAGGUCAAUGACAUCAAAAUCAAUAAUUAUUUGUGUUUGCAUGGUAGUCACAUUAAUCAACUUUAAUUAAAUAAGAGGCUAACUUGGGACAAUUAUGAGCUAUGUGACGUUCUACUUGUUGCGCGUUUCGAGUCCUAUACAACAUAGUUUUAUUUUGUCUAGAUCACAGAACCAAAAAUAGCAAAGUUCAAUGCCCCUUGGACUAUAUGUGGGACGAUAAGUAUUACUAAAGACUGUUGUUUUAUCCUUGUCUUAGAACGCCUUAGAGUAAACAACCAGCCUAGGUAGGGUGGGACGGAUAGUCAUUCGGAAGUGAUGAUCUCCAGAGAUAUUACACUACAUUUGACAUUUUUACUUGUUUGAGAAUUCGGCUAGUGGGUCGGAUAAGGAUUAAACAAAUUGGGGUUCUGAUCCGAAUGAGACCAAAACAUUUCUUUGUUUGAUUUGACGAUUUCUUUCUUUUCUGUACAUUUACUUUACAUGCUUGUUUGCUUGGGGUAGUUUAGGUCUUUAAAAUUGGUAAAUAUUUUGUUACAAAUUGUUUUCCUUCUUUCUCCUCGCUUCUCUACUUUACAUUAUUUGCUAUUUUUUUUAUCACCACCUAGUUAAUGAUUAGAAAUAAUAAAAUAAUAUGUUUGUUUAUUGAUUACUUUGUCACUCAGUUAAACAUUAAGUUAAUAAAACAAGAGACCUUUAUUUGAUCACAUAAAAUUCCCACGUAAAGCACGAAUUCGGUCGGGAACCACCUUUGUGGACCUCGACACGUGCCUAAUGCCUUCCUUUUGAGGUAAUUUGAAUCCUUACCCGAAUUUCUGGUGAACUAAGACAAAACAACAAAAUAGGUUCGUAGUUAGCCUAGACUGGUGCCCUAACGCACCUUAAUUCGUUAGGUGGCAACUCUUCACACACUCUCUUAAAUAAUUUCAAAAAGCGUGGUCACGUCGAGUCCUGCUUUUCGCAAGAAAAAUGAAGCGCGACAGAAUGGAUAGGCAUGAACAAAUAUGAAACACAUAAAAAAGGAAGGAGAAGGGCUACCAUGUGAAAAAUAAAUCAAGGUGGCAAAACAAAAGAUAAACAUGAAAAGUCACAAUCAAAAUAAAAUUCAGACACACAAUAGAAUCCCACAGAAAACACAAACUAGUAAUGUUUAGAACCUAAGAUCCCUAGCAAAGUUGUCAUUUUGUCGCUCCCCAUUUUUCUCACGAAAAACGGGACUCGACAUGACCACUCUUUUUGGAAUUGUUUAAGAGAGAGUGGAGAGUUGCCACCUAACGAAUUAAGGUGCAUUAGGGCACCGGUCUAGGCUAACUACGAACCUAUUUUGUUGCUUUGUCUUAAUUCACCAAAAAUUUGGGUAAGAGUUGUGUUAGGAACCUUUCGAGGUCCAAAAAGGUGGUUCCCGAUCGAAAUCGUACUUUACGUGGAAUUCUAUAUGAUCAAAUAAAGGUCUCUUAUUUUAUUAUCGACUUAAUGUUUAACUGAGUGACAAAGUAAUGAAUAAACAAACAUGUUAUUUUAUUAUUUCUAAUCAUUAACUAGGUGGUGAUAAAAAAAAUAGCAAAUAAUGUAAAGUAGAGAAGCGAGGAGAAAUAAGGAAAAACAAUUUAUAACAAAAUAUUUAUCAAUUUAAAAGACAUAAACUACCCCAAGCAUGUAAAGUAAAUGUACAGAAAAGAAGGAAAUCGUCAAAUCAAACAAAGAAAUGUUUUGGUCUCAUUCAGAUCAGAGCCCCAACUUGCUUAAUCCUUAUCCGAACCACUGACCGAAUUCUCAAACAAGUAACAAUGUCAAAUGUAGUGUAAUGUCUCUGGAGAUCAUCACUUUCGAAUAACUACCCACCCCACCUAGGCUGGUUGUUAACUCUAAGGCGUUCUAAGACAAGGAUAAAACUACUGUCUUUAGUAAUACUUAUCGUCCAAGAGGCAUUGGACUUUGCUAUUUUUGAUUUUGUGGUCUAGACAAAAUAAAACUAUGUUGUCUAGGACUUGAAACGCGCAACCAGUAGAACGUCACAUAGCUCAUAAAUGUCACAUAGCUCAUUGACCUAUAGACAUGAUAUCUAAGUGCUCAACAAUUAUUAGUAUGACAAAAUAAAACUAUUGUUCAUGUCAAAUAAUGUAUUAUAAAAUUGUUAAAAAGUGCGCAUGUCGAAGUGAAGUAAACAUGUCAAAGAGUUGUGCUCACAAAUUUCAUUGUGCAAGAUUUGUUGUAAACUAAUGAUAGUAUUGAAAAAUUACGUGUCGAAAAUUAUUUUAUUUUAAACUGGAGAGCCCAUUAACAUGCGGGAAAUACAAUCUUUUAAUGCUUGAGAGUGAAUUAACAUGCAAAAAUUUGUUAUUAUGCUAGACUGUAACAUGAACAUGCUAAACACGCAUUGACAUGCUUAAAUCUCAUGCUUGAAAUAAAUAAAUUAGUAUGAAGGAAAGUAUGCUGACGUUCAAACUAAUAGGCUAACAUGUUGGGGACUUAUUUCUUAUAUGAACAUGCUGAAAUUUAAUGCGAACAUGUCUAAAUUUAGUAUUUAACAUACUAGUAAUUAUUAUUCAUGUUGAAAAUUCAAUUAAACAUGCUGAAAAUUCAAUUAAACAUGUUGAAAACUCAAUUAAACAUGCUAAAAAUUAUAUUAAACGUGCAGAAAUUAUAUUAAACAUGCUGAAAAUUGUAUUAAACAUGCUGAAAAUUUAAUUAAACGUGUCAGAAAAUUCAAUUAAUUAUGCUUAAAUCUAAUUUUAAAAUGUCAAAAAUAGGUUGGGAUUUUAAUUUAAUAUGUUUAAUAUGCUGAAAAUACAUUAACAUGCUUAAAUCUAAUUUAAUAUGCUGACAUUCAAAAUAUGUUGAUAUGCUUAGUGUCAAUCUAAUUUAGAAUGUCGGAUUCAGUUAUAUCCUAAGUUCAAGAAUUCUAAGCGGAUUAAUUAAUAAACCAUAGAUUACGUGCCUAAGCGAUUCAUAUGUUAAUAAGUCCUAAGAUUGUGUGCCUAAAUGAUUCACGUAACACGUAAUAAACAUAAAACUUAAAUUGUGCCUAUCUAUACUAUUCAUAGAGCAUGUAAAUCCCCGCCCCCCAAGCAGUCCGCAAAAUUUAUUAUUACAUCAAUAGUGUUUGUAUGAUAAUAUUACAAACCAAAUGAUAAACAAUAAAAACUAAAUAGAAAGAACUAAUAUAGUCCAUUGUAAACACCCCGGCGACUUGCGAUUCCCAAAAUACAACUUAAUGAUACCUGUUAGAUACAAAUCAAAAGAGCAACUUGAAUACACCAACACAUAAUCUUAAACAAUACAUCGUCUUAAAUUGAGGAAUAAAGAAAACAAAGACAUAUUAAACAAGCAUUAUUUCAAAUUAGUUCCUAUAGACAUGCUUUCUAUGUUUUGCUAUCACAAAUACUACGGGACAAGAAAAGAAUGAAUCGAUUAGUGACUUACCGGUUGAUGAUAACGGAUAAUGAUAAUAAAAGAAAAUCAAGAAGCACGAAAUCCAAGAACAAAUUGCCACCGAAAGGUCAAGAUUAAUGCUCCACAAAUGAGUGCCAAAAUAAUAAAGUAAAAUUGUCUCUUUCUUUUUUGUUUUAAGCUUUUGUUAGAGAAAGUAUAUGUAUUCGUUAUAACUUAUUUUUAAGAGAAGAGGUAGCGUAUAGAGAGUAGGGAGAUUGUAGAUAUUAUAGAGUGUAUCCUUGUUCCCCAAAUUAUGAGGAGAGGUCUCCUUUAAAUAGUUAGUAUGAGGAAUAUUAAUAUAAGGAGAAAAAAUAAAUCAAGGAGAUUCCUUCCCUUAAUCAAGACACAUAAUUUAAUUAAUCAGAAAAAUAUGUCAAAAUUAUCAUAAUCAAACAAAUAAAAAUCACUCCAGACCAAAUAAAAUUAAGCAAUUAAUAAGGAGAUUAUAGAAUAUGCCAAAAUAGAUCGAAAUCUUUACUAUAAAUAAAGAAGUAUCAAAUCUGUAACAAUUAAAAGAUGGAGAAAUAGUCAAUUAGAAAUCAAUUACAAAUAUUCAGGAAUCAAAAUUGACUAGAUAACAUAUCAAAACAAAUCAAUCAAGAGGGUGUAAACAUCUUAUGGUGAAUCAAUCAAGCCUUUUACCUAACGAAAAUCAAGGAACUAAUAUUUGUCAAAAAUCAAGCAAACAUACAAUCGAUAGUGAUCAAUUAAAAAAAACAAGCACCUCGUUUGAAAAUUAAAAUCAAAUAUCACAAAAGAAAUUGGAAUACAGUAAAACUCAUACAAAUUUGGGGGUUUUGAUAUAUGUUAGCCUAGACACGCAAAUAAACACAUAAUUAAAGACAUUGAAUCAAAAUUCAAACUCAAACCUCACAAAUUUUAAAUAUGAGUAUUUAAAUAAUUUGUGGAUAAAUAAAAUAAAAUCAUGCAAUUUAAGAUUAAAAAAAUAUUAAUCUCAAAUCGUAAUCGCAGUGAGGUUCCUCGAAAACUUCGCUGGUCAUCAACUCCGACGAGGAUGUGAUGAAUGAGAGGAGGGGGUGGUGAAGGGCAGCGCUGGAGAGGGUGACGAAGGAGCUCGGAUAGUUUACUCAUCGUCUUAUGACUGGCUGCAGCGGCGGUAGGUGGCUUGGGCUGGACGGGGAUUGAUCGAUAGCGGCAGGAGGAGAUGCGGCUAUUGGCAUUCGGAGCAGCGAUGGUGAGAGACCAGGCGGAGGAGGUCAUCCUCGGGGUGAGGACAAUGGCAGCGCUGGUGGUUUUAUUGGUUGGAGUGGUGAACGACAGUGGUUGGUGGAAGUUAGGUUUAAAGAGAGGCCGGGGGGGGAAAAAAAAGGAUUGGUUUAAAGGAGGGGGGGGGGGGGGGGGGGAGAAAGGGUGCAACUUAUUUUGGAGAGAAUGAAUUAGGGUUAGGGGUUAAGCUUAAAAAGGAAAGAAUAGAGUGGGUUGAUCUCAGCCGUUGGAUCAUUCUUGAUCCAUGGCUGAGAUUAAAAGGCUAAGAAAAAGAAAUGGGAUUUUUAAAUGAAUUAAAUGUGGCUAGAAUUGUAAUAAAUUGUGUAAAAUUAGGCUAAGAUUGUAAUAAAUUGGAUGAAAAAGGCUAGAAUUUAAAUAAAUUAGAAAAAAUAAUUUAAAUUAGGUUGUUAAUUAAAUAAGACGUCGAAAAAAAAUAAAGUAAGUAUGUAAAACUAAUGUUAUGUAAAUUAUUAUAUAAAAUUGUUGAUAAUCAUAACAAUAAUAAUAAUUAGAUAAUGUAUUUGUAAAUUGUGAGUGCAUAUUUAUGGAAAAAACAUGGUUUAAUAAAUAGUAAUAUAAUUAUGUAAAAUAUUUUAAACAGUGAAAAAAUAAUAAUAAAAGUAAUAAAAUAAUUUGUAUAUAUUUAAAUUAUGAAUGCGACACGUCAACAUCUGUUUGAUAUAAGAAUAAAUGUGUAAAAAAUAUUAAUAUUUAAAAAAAAUAAUCAUGAUAAAAUAGCAGCCUAAAGGGGUAUUGGGAGGUCAAAAUUGGAUGUCAACAUCAGGUGGUUAGUAAAGAAAAUCAAUGGCAUCAAAAGGUAAUGUUAAUGGACGACAUAAGAAAAGUAAGAAAGGACCUGAUAAUCUUCUUGCUGGUAUAUAUCCACCACCACCACAACCUGUUACCACAACUCUUCAACCAGUUACUACAAAUAUUCCUCCCCCUCCUAGAUCAACUAUUUCACAACCAAAUACAUUUUUCAUGCCUCCACGGUCUGACCAGAUACAGACCUCUUUAUCCCAAAAUAGUCUGCAUAGUAGCUCUUCAUCUGUGCCUUUGAUAUCAUCCACACCAAGCCUUUUUGGAUUGAGAAUUGAAGGUCCUAACACACCAACAUCGCCAUCCAUUGAUAGUGCUAUAAUGUCUAAUGCUACAACAACUGUUUUUUAGAAUCUGCAAUUUAAAGAGGUAUUAAAAUAUGACAAGUUUGUGAGUCUACGAAUCGUCCUUUAUUGUGAUGGGUAAGUAACCAUUAAGUUUUUUCUUAAUUUGUAAAAGCUAAGAUGAUGGUUUAAUAUAAUUUUAUUGCAGGUUCAAUCCAGCAUAUACCGCCGGGCAUAUAGUUAUAGAAGCAAUUAAACUAUUUUUCAAAGAGCCGUGGAAUAGUUGGUUAGAGAUUCCAUACAAAAUUAGAAUUGUUAUGUGGAAACAGUUUAUGGUAUAAGCAGUUUUAUAAGCUAUGAAUCUCAUUGCCUAAAGAUAGUUUUUUCAUUGUAUCCAUCAACUCAUUUUAUGACUUUUUAUUAAACUAGUUUGCAGACAAACUAUUUUGUAUCUCCUGGUGGCCAUUGCACUCCUGCCCAUUGAGCCAAUGCAACUCUAAAUGCACCUGGUUGUCUACUACCAGAUGGUUUAUGGUUCCUCUUAGUCUCAUGCAAAUCAUCUUGCUUAUACAUUUAUACAGAACAUUGCAGCAUGCAGUAACUUAAAAUAACUUUUAAUAAAUUCUACUAUUUUCUUCCCACUCCUUCUUUAUUUCAUUGAAACAAAAAUGUAUUUGCUUAUGAGUCUCCAGUUUAAUCCAUAGGGCUCUGGACUUCUGUUGAACUAUGCCCUCUUCAAUGUGACUCAACUUCUCCAAAUUCAGCAACAAGUCUUUCUCCUUUGGUGCUAAGAAAUUUGAUUAUUAAGUGGAUAAGAGAUGUUGAGUGACUUGCAAACGAUCUCUAAUUUGAUUCACCUUGAUAGUUGAAUGCCUAAAAUGAUUAUUGUUAAGCAAUUCUACUGUUUUACAAUGUGACCUGUCUUUGAUACAACAUCUUUGGUUCUACCUUUGUUUUGAUUAUCCUUAUUUUUUACUAUUUUAUUACACGUCAAUAGAAAUGUUCAGGAUAUCAAGGUAGGCUAGAUAUCUUUGGGAUUGUGGUGAUAGGUUCAUAUGCAUUAUGGGUCACACCUUCAUUUGUAAGAGAUGAAGGAUGGAGAGUAAAGAAAAAUGGUUAAUGAGCACUCAAAACCAAAACAAAAUGAGCAAUAAUCGAUUGUACAUAUAUGGUUAGUGCUAUGCAGGUGUUGCUGUUUGAAACAAGCGAAUUAGUCAGCUUUGAGUCACUAAAAAGGAGAAGGGGUUCCAAAAGUCACCUGGCUGAUGAUACUAUGAUCUGCAAUUUGUUAUUGAGUCCUGUAUGAAGUACCAGGCAAAUUUCCACUUAAGAUAAACUUUUUAUAAACAUCAUGAAUAAAUCAUCCAAAAAUACUGAAUCACAAAAUAACUCAUCGGCUAAAAGAGGAGAUACAAUGAGCUCUUCGACUAUUUUGCGGCUCUUUUGUCACCCCCAGUCUUUCCAGAAUCUCUCUGUCUUUCCCUGCUUGUCAUUACUUGGAUGUGGUUGUAACAGUGAGCAAGUUUUUCUCCUUACAAUAGGGGACCAUCUUCUACUUCACAAACUAGCCCUACGUAGAGCAUUUGCAGGUGACUUUAGACCUUCAACAGCCAGAAGAUCUCUAUGCAACUGAUGCAGAGAAACAGAAGCACCAGCAGGAUGUACUUCUAUUUGAAGGAUGCUCUGAUAGUUCCUUUACCCACUGAUGUUCUUUUAUAUGUUGAUUCUUGUGCAGACUUAAGAUAAAUUUUUUAUAAAUCCAUGAAUACGUGUUCACUCUUAUGGUUAUACAAGUCUAGUUAUUUCUUUUUACGUGUUGUGUACAAGAUUGCAAUGGCCAACUCCUGCAUCUAAGAUGUGAUUGAUCACCAACAAAAACCAUGAUACUAUGCCACUAACUUUUAUGCAUUUAAUAUUAAUCACAAAAGAAACAACUUAUUCAAAUAAAACAUGUCUUCUACUGUUUCAUGAUAUAGUUGAAGUUGGUCUAUUUUUUAAAAUAAUUUAUUUCACCAUGGGUAAAAUUUUGCAGAAAUUCUUAAAUGGGGGAGUAGAUGUACCUCUUCCUAAAUCCUUCGAAGAGACACAUAAGAAGAAAAAACUGGAUAACACAAGAGAAUAUUGGGUCGAACCGCGUGCUAAGGCUGCAUAUGUAAGAUACUGCAUAUGUAAGAUAUUAACUUUUAUAUAUAUUAUUUUCUUAUUAUUCAACUUAGCUUGUUUACAUAAUGACCAUUAUUUUUCUUUCAGGAAGGAUUUAAAAAAAGCAUUGAAGAUUGGCGUCAAACCCAACCUGUUUCAGAGGAUGGUACCACGGUCCAACCAUCGUCUACUGAUAUGACUAGAAUAUGGACAACUGUGGUAGGUGGUCCAAAGAAGGGUAAAACCUAACAGCUUAGAGUUAACCGAUCCUCGAGUAGUUCUUCUCCAAUGUUGCCCAACUCCACUUCUAUUUCACAAAAUGCGAAAGAAAUGGAAGCGAUGAAAAAUAAAAUUGAAGAUUUGACGCAACAGUGUGCAGUUAGUGAUGCCAAAUUUGCCAAAUUUGAGGCAUUAGUCAAGAAGUAUAUGCCUCAAGUAUUUGAGGAUGAGGAAGAUAAUGAAUCAAAUGAUUAGAUUGUAGCUUUUGAUUCUUAUUUAUGAUUGUGACGUGUAGACUUAAAGUAUUAGAAUUAAUGUUUAUUUUGGAUUGUGACGUUUAGACUUAAACUUGUCUUGAAAUGUUUAAACUAUUUAACUCAUUUAUUUUGGAUGUUUCAAAGUGGUUGAAUUUUUAAGUUUUGAUUGUAUAUGUAAUUUUUAAAUUUUACUUUGAGAAAUACAUUAGGUAUGCUGUUACUGGUUGUAAAACGAGAAGAUAUUCCGACUACAAUGGUCGGAGUAAAGAAAAAUAAUUUUAUUAUUUAUCGACUACAUCUUUCGAAGAAAAUAAUUAUAGUAUCCUUUUCCGACUACAGUAGUCGGAAAUAAUAAUAUAUUAAAUAAUUAAUCAUUAAACUUUCGACUAUUUUAGUCGAAAAAAUUUUAUUUAUUAAAUAAUUAUUAAUUACUAUUUCAAAAUAAUAUAUUUUCCAACUAAUUUAGUUGAAAAAUGAUAGUAUAAUAAUAAUUAUUUAUUAAACUUCAGACUAAAGUAGUUAGAAACUUUUUAUUUGUUAAAUAAUUAUUAAUUACUAUUCCGACUACAUUAGUCGGAAACCUUAUAAUUAUUUUUAAUUAUUUUCUUAAACUUCCGACUACACUAGUCGGAAUAUUAUUUUUUUCAUAUCAUUCUAUAAUUUCAUUUUUGCGACUGGGGUAGUCGAAAAUUUUCGACAGUAGUAGUCGGAAAUAUAUUUUUGAUAAGUUUUUUUCCGACUACCACCAAACAGUCAGAAAGUAGUCGGAAACUCUCUAUUUUUCGAUUACAUUCCAACUACAUGAGCUGUCGGAAAAUAGCGAAUUUACGGUAGUGAAGGAAUUUAACAAAGGUCGAUAUCUUUUAUAUCUUAAAGUCUUGUUUCUACCACUCUUAUAUUCAACCAAUGUUAUAUUAAUCCAGAAAUAUAUAAAAAAUUUAGGACCAUUCCAACGUCUUUACAUAAUUAUUUUACUUUGAAGUUUAAAUUUUAUUUGAACAUACUAUUGAGAUUACAAUUUAUGAUUCUUGAGACUCAAUAAUGGAGUUAUAUUGAAGACAUAGCUGGAGAGCUCACAGAGGAGCAAACAAGAAGAACAUUCUAGAGAAUGAGAUAGAGAGACUGAAAAUAAUUGUCUUUACUCCUGUGUGAAUGGUCAGUACAUAUAGAUGAAUAAAAUGGAAGAAAUAAAUAAAAAUAUCUACUUCAACUAACCGACUGUGACUGCUUAACUGUACAUUAACUGACACAUAAGUAACUAACUAACUGACUCCACUAACAGUGGACCAACAAUACAAUAAUUUGUCUUACUAAUCUCAACACCCCCUCAAGUUGGAGGUGUGGAAAACACAGUCAACUUGCCAAGAGUAGCAGAGUCUUAACACCAGUUAAGGCUUUAGUCAAUACAUUUACUAAUUGAUGUUCUGUGGAAAUAUGAUGUAGAAUAACAAGUCCCUUAGCCAACUGUUUCCUCACAAAAUGACAGUCAACCUCAAUGUGCUUGGUCCUCUCAUGGAAUACAAGGUUCCUUGCUAUGUGAAGUGCAGAUUGGCUGUCACAAUACACAUCAAAUAGAACUGGAAAUGGUACUGUAAGAUCAUCAAAUAUCCUGCUCAACCACACCAGUUCACCUACAACUUUUUUGAGAACCCUGUACUCAACUUCUGCAGAAGACAAGAAAAUAGUUUCCCGUUUAUUUAACUUCCAGCUUAUAGGACUGUUUCCUAACAAGACAAGGUAACCAGUGACUGAUUUCCUUGAGUCUGGGCAGGUGGCCCAAUCUGAAUCACAGUAUGCUUUGACAUCAAAGUUGGGUUGUUUGGACAUGAAGAUGCCUAGUGUAGGAUCACUUUUGAGGUAAUAAAGGAGAUGAAAAGCUGCUUUUAGAUGUGGUUCUCUAGGGUAUUGCAUAAAUUGGCUUAAGUGUUGAACACUAUAUGCAAUAUGUCCAUCUUGGUGUUGGUGAGAAAAAUUAAUUUUCCAACCAAUUUCCUGUAAGUAGUAGGAUUUUGGAUACUAGCACCCUCUUUUGCUCUAAGCUUUACUGGAGGAUCCAAUGGAGAUGAAGUACUAGGCUUGUCAAGACAACCAUGUUCCUUUAAAAGAUCUAGCAAAAUCUUUCUUUGUGAUAUGAUUAAGCCAUCAUCUAUAUAUGCUACCUCUAUCCCCCAAAAAUAGUGCAACUUGCCCAGGUCUUUGAUUCUAAAGGUCUGGUGUAGAAACUGUCUCAAAUCUUUAAUCUCUUUGAGGUCAGUUUUUGUUAGGAGAAUAUCAUUUACAUACACAGCUACAUAAAUUAUUGAGUCACUUAUUUUCUUAUGAAAUAAUGAAUAAUAAUACAUUGAAUGUGUGUACCUUCUGGAAUACAAGGCUUGGGUUAGUUAGAAAUACCAUUGCCUACUAGCAUGUUUCAACCCAUAUAAUGACUUGUUUAGCUUGCAGACUAAUAUGGGAUCUUCUACUGCUAAACCAGGAGGUAAUGCCAUGUAUACCUCUUCAUCCAAGUCAUUAUGUAGAAAUGCAUUAUUGAUAUCUAACUGGGAAAUACUCUAUUAUUUCUUAAUAGUAGUGGCUAACAAGGCUUUUGCAGUUUUCAUCUUUACAACUGGUGAAAAGAUUUCUGUAUAAUCAAUUCCAGCUUGUUGAGUGUACCCUUUAACUACCAGUCUUGCUUUAAAACUCUCAACACUUCCACCAGCUUUGUGUUUAACCUUAUAGACCCACUUACACCCUAUUAUUUGCUUUCCUGGAGGUAGUGGUACUAGAUCCCAAGUGUGCUUCAAGUGCAGUGCCUCAAAUUCUUGAUUCAUGGCAGUUUUCCAUGCAAGGUUCAUAGAUGCCUCUCCAUAUGGGUUAGGUUUACUAUCAGUGCAAAUGUUAUUCACAACACUUAAGCUUUUAGGAUUCAAGGCAUCAGGAGAAAUAUGAUUACAAUGGAAAAAAAUAGUAAAAGAUGUGGAUCUAUUUGAAGUAGGUUUGAGAUUUGGUAAUUUAUGUAUGUAAUCAUGUAAGUAACCAGGAGGUUUACCAUCUCUUUGAGAUUUUCUUGAUGCUGUGGUUGGUUGUCUAGUGUUGCUUUGUAGAGAAGGUGGAUUAGGAGCAUCACAUAGACUAUUAGUCAAAGAAAUGUGGGGAAUGGAAACAAUAGAAUCUGAAUGAAGUUCUGUAGUAUGAGGUAUUCUACCUUCCCCAUAACAUCUACCUUUGUUAUCAGAUGUAUUUUGUUGCAUAAAAUCAGGCAUGUAGACAAUAAAUGGAAUAGAGGUUAGAAUAGAAGGAAAUGAAGUAAGAUUAGGAUUUAUGGACUGUUUCUUUAAAAACAACAUCUAUGGAAUUGUGAAUCUGCCUAGUGUCUAGGCUAAGAAAUUUAUAAUCUUUGAUACCACGAGGAUACCCAAUGAAAACAUGAGGGGUAGUUCUAGGUUCUAGUUUAUCUCUGUGUGGUUUAGGGACUGUAGGAUAACACAAACAACCAAAACUCUUCAUAUGUGAAUAUGUUGGUUUUGUUUUAUAAAGGAUUUCAUAUAGACAUUUGUUCUUUAACUGGCUAGAGGGUAAUCUAUUGAUGAUAUAAGUGACAUAUAAAACACAUUCUCCCCAAUAUUUUAUGGAAAGUUUGGAUUGGAAAAAGAGGGCUCUAGCAGUUUCUAGUAGAUGUUUGUGUUUUCUUUCCAUUACAUCAUUUUAUUGUGGGUGUAUGGGCAAGUUAUUUGGUGAAUAGUUCCCUUGGAUUGAAAAAACAAUGUUGCUUCUGUAUUGACAAACUCCAGUCAAUUAUCAGAUCUGAUGGACUUAAUUGUCGUCUUGAAUUGGUUCUCAACCAUGAUAGUAAAACCUUUAAUGACUUCCAGAGCAUUACCCUUGCAGGUUAAGAGUUGUGUCCAGGUAGCCCUACUGUAAUCAUCUACCAAGGUGAUAAAAUAUCUGAACUUAUUAUGGGUCAUUGUAUGGUAGGGGCCCUAUAAAUCUACAUGCAGUAAUUGGAAUAUUUCAGUAGAACUGGUGGUUCUUUAAGGAAAGAAGAGUCUCUCUUGUCUUGACAUGGGAUAUAUAGAAUAAAGAAAUGGUUGUUUAGGGGAAAAAUUAUCUGGUAAGUUAUGGAUUUCUUUUAUUUUUCCAAAAGGAAUAUGCCCAAGCCUAUUAUGCCACAAGACAUUAACAUCAUUCCCAUCAGACAAGUAUGUAUUUAAAAAGGCAGAUUAAGUUUCAUCAUAAACAACAUCUUUAUUUAAAACAACUUUAGAACCAUAUUCAGUGGCAGGAAAACAUUUAUUUUGAACUGAUGAAGCAGUAUUAAAAUGAAGAGAAAUACUAUGCUGAACAGAUGAACUACAAGUUUUGUUAGAAUGAAGCCUGCAAUCUGGUCUAUGUGUGCAGCAAGAGGAGACAAAAGUAAUGUGAGUUGUGUGUCCAGAUAAGAGUGAGUUGUUGUUCUUCAAGCAUAUAAGACAUAGAAGAUAAAUGCCAUUUUUGGCUCUACCAAUCUCUAGAGGCUUGUUCAUUGAAGGGGCUUAUAGUAAACAAGAAUAGUUCAAAAAAGCAACAACGCUAUUAGAAUGGGAGGAUAAAGAGUGAAUAGAGAUUAGGUUAUAUUUUAAAGAAGGAACAAAAAAUACUCUAUGCAAGACAAUGUUAGGAGCUAGUGUUAUACUACCAAUUUGAGUUACUUUUACCUUAUCUUUUUGGGAGAAUAACUAGCAGGGGUUGCAACAAGGUAAUAAUGUUGGUAAGUAAGGAUUUAUUAAAUUCCAUAUGGUUAGAUACUCUUGAAUCCAGAAUCUAAGCGUCAGUUCUAUUAUGAAAGCAUUUGCAAGAUAGAUUACCAAAAUUAAUGGAAUAAGUGCAUACUAUUAUACCUGCAAAGUUCACUGUUCCAUUGGCAGUCCUGAGGUACUGAGAUUGUCUUUUCUAUGUUCACCUUGAGUCUAAAAAUAUUGCAGUAGGCUAACAACUUGAUCAUACCGCUCUUUAGUGAGAUUUAUGUUAGGAUAACAAUAUUGAUGUGGCUGCCACCUUGAUCAUACUGCUCUUUAAUGAGAUUCAUAUUAGGAUCACCAUAUUGAUGUGGCUGUUCAACACCAUUAGUAAAAACCAUAUCAUAGUUUGUUCCUAGUCCUAGUACACUAGCCGUGUAUUGUUGGUGGUUCUGAGUGUGAGAUGGUAGAUUUUGUGGGUAGACAUGAAGUUUGUAGCAUUUGUCCUUGGCAUGUCCAACUCAAUUGUAGUAUUCACAAGUAGGUCGAUUCCUAGUAUUUCCAUUGUGACUGUAGUUAUUGUGAUUGCCACUCCCAUUGUAUUCUCCACGAUUAUUAUGAUUACUGCCUACACUAUAGCUACUGCUAUCUAUGUUUCCCUUAGUUCCAAUUGAAUAAUUUGUUUGAAAAUUUCCUUUCCCAUUAUAACUCGAGAAAGAUGAAGUACUAAGGACUAUAAAUUUAGCAAAUGGUUGGAUGUUAGGCUUAAUUUCUCUCUGUUUCUCCUCUUGAAUCAGAAGAGAGAAUACCUGUGCAAUAUAUGGUAAGGGAUUCAUCAUAAGUAUGUUGCCUCAAAUUGCAGUAUAUAUUUCAUUCAUUCCCAUAAGAAACUGUAUCAAUCUUCUGUCUUGCUCAACCUUAUGUGAGUUUUCCUUAGCACCACAAGUGCAGUUGCAAUGACACUGAGUAUGUAUGUGUAGUGUGCUUAAUUCUUCCCAUAAUUUUUUCAUUUUUGUGUAAUAGGUGGUGACAUUGUUCCUUGUGACAGGUUAUUUGUUUCCCUUUGUAUCUGAUAGAGUUUUGCACCAUUAGUUUGAUCAUAAUGAUCUUCAAGUUCUGUCCACAAUUCUGCUGAAUUGCUUACGUAUUCCACACUAUUUGCAAUUUCCUUCGACAAAGAGUUCAAAAUCCAUGAUGUUACCAUAUCGUCUCACCUUUUCUAUUGACGAUAUGCAGGUGACCCCAGACCUAGUUUCUUCACCCCACCAUUGAUAAAACCCAACUAUUCUUGAUGGAAAGUGACCUCAUAACACCUCUUCUCCAAGAUUUGUAUCCUGCUCCAUUGAAAGCUACUGGUAUUAGCAUGGCUCCCGGAUUAUUUGAUGGAUGCAUAUAGAGUAGAGAAGCAGAGAAAUUAUCAAAGUUUAAUUGAUCAGCUCGUUCAACAUUGGGCGUAGACGGACUAUCGAUUUUGAUUGCCAUAAAAAAAGUUUGAAAUCAGAAUAAAAGUUGAAAUUUCAAGGUGGAGACAAUAGAGCAAUUGAGUUAAGGAUUGAAAACAUAGGGUUAAAAACUGAAAUUUGAAGACGAAUUAGGGGUAAAAGAGUAAAAUUAGCUAACAACUUCUGGAAGUGGGGAAGAAAUAACGAACAAUUUCUGGAAAAAAUAUGAAGAUGAUGAACGAUUUCUGGAAUUGGGAAGAACACCGAACAAUUUUUGAAAUUAUUGAUGUGAAUCAGUCGACCAUGAUUCGAACUAACCUGGCUCUGAUACCAUAUUAAGAUUACAGUUUAUGAUUCUCGAGUCUCAAUAAUGGAGUUAUGGAAGACAUUGCUGGAGAGCUCACAGAGGACCAAACAAGAAGAACAUUCUAGAGAAUGAGAUAGAGAGACUGAAAACAAUUGUCUUUACUCCUGUGUGAAUGAUUAGUACAUAUAUAUAGGGAUGGACGUUCGGUAUUCGGUUCAAUAUUUUUGAAGUUCUAAUUUGGUAAUUUGGUAAUCGGUAUUUGAGAGUAGAUACCAUAUACCAUACUUUAAAACAUCGGCUCGGUAAUUGGUAAAUUAAGAUUCGGUUCGGUACAGUAUUUGGUAAUACCAUAUUAAAGUUGGAGGUUUGCAAAUUACAUUUAAACAUCAAAAAGUAUAUUUAAGAAAAAUCCUAUUUAAUAUUCUUUUUUGUGCUUUUUCUGAAUAUAUUACCAAGGUCCAUGAGAUUCUUUGAAUGACUAAUAAUAUUGUCUAUUGGGUUAGUUAGACAUAUUGUAUUAUAUACAUACACACACACAUCUAUAUAUUAAAUAAUUCGGUAUACGGUAAAUACUGAAUACCAAACCGUAUUAAUAUCUUGUACCAAACUCAAUUUCGAGUAUCGAAAUAUUAAAAUUUUACUCCCAAAUUCCAUACCAAAUAACAAAUUACCGAAUAUCAAUUAUCAAUUUUUUCGAUUCGAUUCGGUAAUUCAAUUUUUGGUAUUUUAUGCCCAACCCUACAUAUAGAUGAAUAAAAUGGAUGAAACAAACAAAAAUAUCUACUUUAACAAACUGACUGUGACUGCUUAACUGUACAUUAGCUGACACAUAAGUAACUAACUAACUGACUCCACUACUAACAGUGGACCAACAAUACAAUAAUUAGUCUUACUAAUCUCAACACAUACUAUUUCAAUUUCUAAGUACUAAUUUUUUGAACAAACAUAAAAGUUCCACAAUUUGCAAAUGAGUUAAUACAUAAAAAUGACCCUAAAUUUGACAUCAAAUUAUAACUUUGACCUUAAACUUUGAUAGUGCACAAAUAGGACCUUUAACUAUUUAAAACCUGAACAAAUAUGACCUCCAAUUUUGCAACUCCAUGCGUGAGUCUCACUCGCACCUACGUGAAAAGGUAAUCUAAUCACACGGUGUCAUGUCGUUAAAAGGGCUGACUUGGAGAGAGGUCAUAUUUGUGCAGUUUUGAAUAGUUAAAGGUCAUAUUUGUGCACUGUCAAAGUUUUGCUUUUUGUGUUAAAACGAUGUCGUUUUUUUUUUUUAUUAUUAUUAUUAUUAUAAUAAUAAUAAUAAUAANNNNNNNNNNNNNNNNNNNNNNNNNNNNNNNNNNNNNNNNNNNNNNNNNNNNNNNNNNNNNNNNNNNNNNNNNNNNNNNNNNNNNNNNNNNNNNNNNNNNNNNNNNNNNNNNNNNNNNNNNNNNNNNNNNNNNNNNNNNNNNNNNNNNNNNNNNNNNNNNNNNNNNNNNNNNNNNNNNNNNNNNNNNNNNNNNNNNNNNNNNNNNNNNNNNNNNNNNNNNNNNNNNNNNNNNNNNNNNNNNNNNNNNNNNNNNNNNNNNNNNNNNNNNNNNNNNNNNNNNNNNNNNNNNNNNNNNNNNNNNNNNNNNNNNNNNNNNNNNNNNNNNNNNNNNNNNNNNNNNNNNNNNNNNNNNNNNNNNNNNNNNNNNNNNNNNNNNNNNNNNNNNNNNNNNNNNNNNNNNNNNNNNNNNNNNNNNNNNNNNNNNNNNNNNNNNNNNNNNNNNNNNNAUUUAAUAUUUAAAUAAAUAAUAUUUAGAUAUAUUAUAUAACUUAAAUUCGUCCUCUGCUUUAUAAUAUAUAUACAUACCCGCUCGAUUUUUUCAUAUGAGACUGACCCGCCAAAUUAAUAAAUCUUCAAUAUUACUCUUUUUCCGCAAUGACAAAAGAAAUUAGAUGUCAUUUUCAUCUUGAGCCGAAAAUAAUGAAAAAAUAAUAGUGAAGAGUCAUUUAAAGGUCAUAGUUGUGCAGUUUUGAAUAGUUAAAGGUCAUAUUUGUGCACUGUCAAAGUUUAAAGUCAUAUUUAUGUAUUAUGCCAUUAGAUUUUAAGGUGGACGCACCCAUUUUUGUGUGUUGAACACGCGCUUUGCCACGUAGGAUUGGAGGUCAUGUUUGUGCAGUUUUGAGUUUAGGGUCAUUUUUAUGUAUUACUCCCUCCGUUUCAUAAUAAAUGAAUUGUUGAAUUUUGACACACAGAUUAAGAAAAAACGUUAAAGACAUAAAUUUAAUACAACUUUUCAUUUUUACCCCAAAAAAAGAAAAAGUUGACCUUGUAAUACCUUUUCAAAAAUUAAUUGGUUGUCAAAUCAUAAGGGUAAAUUUGAAAAAAAAUUCAAUGAUUCACUUAUUUUGAAACACCAAUAAAUACUUCAACAGUUCUCUUAUUUCGAAACGGAGGGAGUAACUCUUUGCAAAUAUCACCAAAACUUUCCCAUAUCUCAUGUUUUUCUACGGAGGUCUAUAAUUUUGUAAAACAAUUAAACAAUUUUGGACCGGACAAAAUUUUGAAGAAGAAAUGUACCUUGUUUGAAAUUAAAAGUGAUCAAAUGACUAUUUUCAAGCCUAAUAUACCAAAAUUUCUGCGUGAGUUCGUACGAUGACUAUUUCCAAUAAUUAAUGAAUAAGGUUUAUUUUUGGGUAAGAAAUUUUUCUCACUUAGACAUUUUGUUUAAUUUAUCCUGUAAUCCGAAUAUAUGUAUUAAUUACAUUUUGGGACCCAGUUGAUGCGACCACUUAUGGUCGUAUGCUUCCAUACUUAUCUCAUGCUUUAGCGUCAUCCACGUGAUUUACACGUGCCCUCCUCCUUUCUCUUUUUCUCUCUCCACAUAACCCCAAUUCAGUCUAAUUCACUUCACAUUACACUAAUCCAUUUCCCACUGCAUUUUACCGGGUUUUUUUUUUCACGUCACCUACCAUCAUGAACCAGUCUCAGCUACUGAACCGGAGUUACCACCCCUGGCCACCACCUUUGCCACCACGACCCGGGUCCGCAACGAUACUACCCGAAAAUCAACAAACUUACCAAAGGCCUUGCUUAAACCGGAGUGAUUGGAAACCUCACCGGUCGAACAAACAGCGCCGGUUUUUUCAUCAGAAGAAGAAACAGAGAGAAAAUUACCGUUUUACUCCUUUAACUCCUCACAACACUACGUCGUUUCUAAUCCGGGCGAAAAAGUCCGGCGGGAUUGCUUCAUUGGUAUCACCUUGUCCGAUGACUCCGGCGGUUCUACCGACGCCGAAGUUUUCUCCAGCGAGGGAGAUUUUAGCUGAUGUAGCGAAGGAAGAGUGGGGUGUAGACGGGUACGGGUCGAUGAACGGGUUGAUCCGGGUCCGAUUACCCGAGAAUGAACCGGGAGAAGAAGAGGAUGAAGGUGAAGGGGUUAUUGUAUCAUGGAACAGUGAUGUUGAGGAAGUUGAGAAGAGAUUAAGCCAUGAUUUGAGCCGCUUUGAGAUGAUAUAUGACCCGAGAAAUGGCGGGUCGGGUCGAGAUGGGUAUGAUUUUGGUUACAGAGUUGAUGAUGUGGAGGAACAUAUAGAGAGAUUGGAGGAGGAAAACAUGGAGCUGAAGGAGAAAAUGUAUGUAAUGGAGAGGGAGUUAGAGGAAUUGCGUAAAAGGGUUCGGUAUUUGGAAGGUGGAGAUGAAAAUGGGUCGGAUAAUGAAGCUGUUUCUGACAAAAGCAUAGGAGAUUGAGGUGGCCAUGAAGAAGGGUAGCCUUGGAGGAGUAGUUGGUAAAGUUGCGGCCAUCUGACCAGGAGUUUACGGAUUAAACAUUGAAACAGCCUCUUUGAGAAGCUAACGCUGUGUGUAGUGAACCCUUGUGGUUUGGCCCUCUUCGCGGAAGCUGUUUGGUUUUCUUCUGCCUCUGUAUUUAGUUUUGUUAUAUGCUUUUAGGUGGUGAAGUCUUUAGUGUAGAUCUUAGUUAUUAAUCUUCUUUUUUUUGUUGUUGUCAACUUUUGAGGUGUAGAAAGUAGUUGUAGUAGUAAUCUUUACUUUGAUCUGACUGAUAAAACUUGUGGAGUAGGAUCAACUUUAAUUGCUCAAUUAAGCU